GGCUUCUGGAGUCUUCUAGAUGAUAGAAAAUUGCGCGGCACGUUAAUAUCUCUAUAUAAACCCGACAUGUGGGCCUUUCUUCCUUAUUUCCUCAUAACCCCCUGCAGAAAUAGACAAACACCAAAACUCGUGGAAUUCUAUCAGAUAAAACCCUGAGUUUAGAUGUUGGUUGUAUUUGGAUCCUUUUCUUUGUUUAUUUGAUGAUUAUAUUUGGUACUUAAGGACCGUCAACAACUCCCCCAAGCUUACCUCUUGCUCGUCCCUGAGCAAGGAUGGACUCAAGAGUUUCUGCAGUGGUUUUAUGCCUUAAAGGUACACAUGCAUUUAAACAAGAUCUCAUCACUAGGUUAGGGUAAACUGUUAAGAUUUAAACUUACUCAUAUUACCUUCCACCAUGGGGCUUGCAACCGUCACUUGUGUCUUGAGCAGUUAAAAGAUAGAACGGUGAAGUCAAGCACCAUGUCUCUUGUUCUUUGAUCAACUAUAGCUCUGGAGUUUUUGCAGAUUUUCAAAUAAAACUCAGAGAUUCCUUGUAUGACUCUCUCUAGUCUCUCUUUUGUGGUAUUUCUGGAUCCUUACCAAGGCAGUGAUAAUAUACGCCUUCUCUCAAAGUACGUAGUAUUUGUGGUAUGAGGCAUAGUGAUAUUGCCUUCUUUCUCACCCUACUCUAAUAAGGUUUGAUAUCUGGAGCUCAUAGGUGGGAGACAGCUAAUACAUACUUAUUACAAGACAUUUAUUGCAUAGUCAAACCAUGGAUCUAGAGAAACGAGUCAAUAAGUCAAAUCAAGAUGUGCAUGUGUGGCGAAUGAAUGGUGUAUGGUGAUGAUGGUGAAAACAUUGGUGAAAGUCUAAUUCUACUUUUGCUCUUUUGAGGGGAUACAUACCUUUCUUGCACUUUGAAGCUUUUUGAGGGGAAUGAGAUGCUCUAUAUUUUCUUUCUUCUCUUUUUUUUCUUUUCUCACGUGGGUAUCUUGUACCCCUAAUUCUACUGUCGGACACUUGUCCAUUUUUACCUCUCGUCUAACUUUUUCUUUUUUCUUCGAGGUUCCGGGCACUUGCCCCUUUUUAUUUCCUCGUAUUCACUCUUUUUUUCAGAGCACUCACCCUCCUAGAAUAAUGUAGCAAGUGGUAGUAACCAAAAUAUCAAGAGCAUUUAUUUCAUGGGGAAUAACAAGGAUAGGAUAAUGUUUUUGGCUAUUCUCUCUUGGAUAGGAGUAGAAUAAUUUUGGGUGAUGGAAAGGAGUGGAUGUAUGUGGAUGCGUACUUCCGGAGUAGAAGCAACAUGUAUGAGUGAACGUGCAAGUGAAUCUUGAUUUUAUCCGCAUGACAAGCUCCUAAGGGUCUACACAGCUUGACCACACUCAAUGCUCAUAAGCAGUAAAAAGUAAAUGUAUGGUUCAUAGUCUAAUAAGCAUGUAUAUAUGGUUGUGGUAGGAUUUUAAACUCUCAUCAUACAGGAACUCAUCAUGCAACAUUUUAAAAAAUUUCAAAGAUAAAAUUCUCUAGAAUUCUAGCAUCUCUAGGAACAGAUAAACAGCAGCUCAACUUUCCCAUAUCAUAUCCGUUAACGACUUAGACUUUUGAUCAGGUACUCUUCCCACAAGUUCAGGUUUAGAGAAAAUCUUAAUUCAUAACAGUCAUGCCUAAACUUGAGAGAGAAUUUAAUUUUGAGAACUAGUCAUGGCAGAGCAACUAUUCAUCAAUUCCAUGUGAGAGCUUAUCAUGAGGGUUCAUAGCAAACUUUAUUAAUUUAUUUAUUUAGCAAACUAAGCAUAGAUAUAUAUAAGCAUAAAAUCUUUAUUUGGGUUUUUAUGAUUAUGCAUCUUUUUAUUAUUUGAGUAAAGUAUAAAUGCGAGUAGAAACACUUAGCUGGAUAAAUGGGGGUGCUCUCCCCCAAGCUGGAUUUUGACGUAAUUUCUUCUGAUGUAGCUAGCAGGUGAUGGAGGUGUAUUUGAAUGUCGGCAGCACCCUCACAGCGAUUAGGAUGUCCUCCGUCUGCUAGUCUUCUUUGAUCUGUGUUCAUUCUUUAGGUGCGUCAUUUGAUUCAGGUGCGGACCUUGACGUCUGGACCUCUUGAUACGGUGUCACCCUUGUUCUUCGUUUGCCUAGCAGUUCGAAGUGCGGCGUUGGCAGCAUCCUGCUCAGUGUGUUUGUGCUCGUAGUGUACCUACUCAUAGAGACAACGCAGAGAUCAAGUGCAUGGGCCCUGUUGGUGGAAAACACCAACAGAACCAAAAGUGUAUUUGUUCUUCUCUAACCUUAAGCAUGGUGAGCAAGACAAAGUUGAUGAAUGAUAAGUUCAUGAGUGUAGCAUUUAAAACAUUUGCCGGAUCAGAUCACUCAACCUAAUGGAAAGAUAAUCUAUCUAUAUAUAUGUCUUUUUCUUUAUAUCUUCCCAAAGAUUAAAUGUGCAACAUUUUAGCUCAUAUGACUAGGAGUGUGGGGAUCAAAGAUUAAGGGACUAAACAUGCUGAAUCAGUGGGGUUGGUUAAUUUGGAGUUAUAAAUCAUACAUGUUUGUCUCUUUUAUUCAUAUGAACGCCAGAACCAAGGAGAAGCUUAUAAAAGUGAUAGUCAAGUACCUUAAGGCGUUGCCUUAAUUGAAGAGUGAUGGUACAGUCUCACCUUGUGGAAGCUUUCCUUUCUUAGCGAUUGUGCAUCGUGUUUGUAGCACCCUCCAUGGAUCAUCUCUUAUGAGCUACGUCUUCCUGGUGUAAAUUGUUAAACUUCAUGUGUCUCUCUCUUUGUCUCUGAUGUGAGUUUAUCUCAGGACUUCCCAGGUCGAUAUUGAAAGUUUUCCUGCAGAGGUUAGUCCAACAAAAUAUCCAAUAUCUACUAUAGCAUACUAUCGGCUCAAAAAUCAACCUAGACACCAAGUCUAAUUUGAUUUAGGAGGGCAUUUUAACCAAAGCACCAUGCUUAAUUUAAAAUCCCUUAGAAGUAAGAUCAUCAUUCCUAAACUAAGCACCAUGCUUAUUUAAGAGAUAAAUGAAACUACUCCAAACCUAGACAUAUACUAAAGCAAAUAAAGGUAGCAUGAGAGCAUUUAUAGAGAUCUACUCAAGUGGAGAUGAAGUAGUGUGAUUAGUAUUCAACAAAUUGAGCAUGUCUCAAAGGUAGGGACAACCAACAUAGCAACAUGGCAAAGGAUGUUUUUAUGUAAAGUACUCCCCCAAGCUUGAAUUUUGCAAAAUUCAAGUUUGGAUGAAUUUAAUGCAAUGUUGUAUGAUGAUCGGUUGGACAUACCUUGUGCUUGUCAUUCAUCCGAUCUUUUUGCUCCAAUCCUGGAAAGGUUAGUGACAAGAAUACCCGAAGGAAUAUUUUUACAAUUAUCGUUAUAUGCUCAAUACACAAAGUAAUGUUGUAAAUAAUUAAAAGCUCAUGUUACGAUCUGAUCAGUGCUUAUUUUAGGACACUAAGCUUGUCCUUGGGAAACCAUCAAUUUAUGUCGGUGAAGUGGUUUCCCUUCCAACGCUGACCUAUCGAGAUCUGCAAUAUUUAUUAUAGACAUAUGCAUUGACAACCGCCCUUUUAAAGUUUUUAUAAAUAGAAAGGAAGAGGGGGUUGGAGAUCUCAAAUGUGGUGAUGUUGGAGAGACCAAUAGAUUGGGAAGAUGUUGCUAUGAGCAUGGAGCAAACGAAGUGGCUAUGAAAUAAAUUCCAUGCUCAUUAAUGUUAUCUUCGUCUCUAAUCUGAAUGUUCGGAGUUUCUCAUGGAUUGGUCUCACUUAUGUCCUCUUCUAUAGUUGGAUGAAUCCCAUUUUCAAAGGGAGUCAAGAACUCACUAUUUGAAAUUGAGCCAAAGUCAGAAUCCAUUAAGGCUUCUUCCUUAUCCAUCCAUUCUACACAUUCCAGCCAUUUAGAACUUGUGAUCAAGACAGGGGAGCUGAUAGAAUCUUCUCUAUGUCUUAGCUCUCCUUCUAUGCCAUCCUUAUGGUCUUCAUGACUCCUAUGGUUUGGUUGUCUUGAUGGAUUGCUAGGAUCAUCAUGAGACUUAAAAGGAGAGGGAUAAGAGGGGUCUCUAAGGUCAAGGAUGGAUUUAGAAUUUGUGAACAUGGAAGGGGAGCAGAUAGAAUUUUCUAUAUGGUUUAGCUCUCCUUCACUUGAUAUGUCAUCCUCAACUUCUUCAUAACAGGAACCAGGACAUUCUCUAAGAGAACCAUUGCAAGGAUUUGAAUUAUCCCUACUUGAAGGUCUCUUAUGGAACCAGAAGUUUAAACCAUCAGCAUCUGAAAGAUUUAAGGUCGGAAUUCCUUCCUCCCUUGGAGAAUUUUGGGAUAUUGAUGGUUUAGGAUCGAUAGCUAAAGUUUGGAAUUGAAGUGGUUGUGAUCUGGCUAUCAAAACUUCUUCUUCUUGUCUAGGAACUGGUUCUUUCUCUUUCUCAAGGAUAUAAAUGCUAGGAAACUUCCCACUCAAUGAAUCAAUUAAAUCCCUAGCUUCACUAGUAGGUAGGUGAUAGAAGGAUCCUCUAGAGGCUGUAUUCAAGGUUUGCUUAUUUUCUCUACUAAGGGCCUCAAAAAAGUGAAUUAGAAGAACUUCUUCUGGAAUAGAAAGCUUUGGGCCAGUGAGAGUAAGGUUAGUAAAGCGGUCCCAUGAUUUGCCAAGAGAUUCUUCUUCCAGUUGUCUAAAAGAAAUAAUCUCACGCCGAAGUUCCGCCACUUUGGAGAUUGGAAAAUAUUUAGAAAGAAAACUACUAUAUAACUCCUUCCAAUCUCCAUGAACACUCCCUACUUUGAGUUUGUACCAUUGUCUAGCUUUUCCUGAUAAAGAGAAUGGAAAGAGCUUCCAUUUAAGGGUCUCAUCGGACAUGCCUUCUAUGCGAAUGAGGUCACAAACUCGAUAAAACUCUCUUAGGUGUGUGUAUGGGUUUUCCUCACCUUCUCCUGAGAAAGGUUGUUUUUGAACAAAUUCUAUGUAUUCGGGGUCUAUCUCAAAACUAGAUGCUAUGAUAGGCUUUGAAGAUUUUGGUGGUUCGAGAUGUGUGCCCAUAGGUCUAUGAAAUUCAUAGAUAGAUAUGUUUGAAUUCAUGAUAGACCAGAGAUCAAGGAUUAGAUAAGAAGAAAGAAUAGCAGAGAUAAGGCAAAGGAUAAAAGGAAUUUUUUUUAGAAAAUGAUUAAGCUAGUUCGUAGUCAACUCAGCAACCGUCUCCCCGGCAACGGCGCCAAAAAUGCUUGUUGACACUUACUAACACCACUUGAAUACUAGGUUGUCAUCCCCAGCAUGGCACUAGAAUGUACUAUGGUAUUUAUACGCACACAGAUAAUCCGCAAGCGCACGGAUACCGUUGAAGCUUUUACCCGGUUAAAGGUUUUAUCGUAUCCACAGGGAAACGGGAGAACUAACUACGCUCUAACUUAACCAAGAUAGAUAGAUAAGUGUAAAUAGGAAAGAUGGUAGAAUCGAAUAAGAACAAUAUUAAAGGUAAGAUAACAAUGGGUAAUAAUAGGGGAAUAGAGAGUUGAGCAAUCUAGUAUAUGGGCGAUAGUAGCAGAAUAGAGAGGAUAACUAUGGUUUCUCUACUUCAAAGGGGUAUGUCUAUGUCUGGGACGAACCACGUGAUAAGAGUACACCACAAAGGAUGCUUCUCCUUAGGCCGAUAAACCCUACCCGUCCUGCUAACGAGAGGUGGACUACAGAGGACCAACGUAACUGUCACCUACGUGGCCUACCACACGAUCCAGCUAGACAGGGGAUAUCCACAAGUAAUCUAGGUCUAAGCACCACGCUUACACCUAUACUACAACUCUAACCUAUAGGGUCCUAUAGAUUAGAAGUACUCAAAAGAGUUGUGAACCAGAACAUACAUGAUUAGUAACUGCAUAAUGAAUUAGAAGUAGAUUACCAGAGUCAUCCCAUGAGCAAGCUUGAUUAGAGCUUGAUCACGACGAAGUACAACCGGAGGAAGAAACGACAGGCCGGCCUCUCCUCUAAUCCUCCUUCGCUCUCCAUCUUGCUACUAUCUAGAUCUACUCUAGUUUAGAGAAGAGAGGAGAGCUCUCAUCUCUAAACCCUAGCUUUUGCUCUGUCUACGAAUAAUGAAUAAUGAUCAAGGGGUGCCUCCUCCAGGGGCCAGGGGGUCUGCUUAUAUAGUCCCCUCAAGUGAACCUGGGCUGUCGGAUCAAACCGACAUUGAUUGAACGGUUAUUCUUGAUCAUUUAGGUCGGUGGAGCAUAAUCCGCGAGAUUGAGCGUGAUUGGUUGAAACUCCAGGGCGGGCGCCCAAGGGGGGAGGGCGGGCGCCCUGCCCCCGGGCCCGUUCGGUCUCCCGUUCGUUCCUGUGGCUUCUGGAGUCUUCUAGAUGAUAGAAAAUUGCGCGGCACGUUAAUAUCUCUAUGUAAACCCGACAUGUGGGCCUUUCUUCCUUAUUUCCUGAUAACCCCCUGCAGAAAUAAACAAACACCAAAACUCGUGGAAUUCUGUCAGAUAAAACCCUAAGUUUAGAUGUUGGUUGUAUUUGGAUCCUUUUCUUUGUUUAUUUGAUGAUUAUAUUUGGUACUUAAGGACCGUCAACAACCGAUCCAGCUGACCUAGGUACUUCAUCGGCCGUUCCCCCUGAGCAGACGAUCAUCAUCCCUCCUCAAGGUAAAGUACCGAUCAUAAAAUUAUUACCGAUGGCCCGUUUAUAAAUACCAUCAUCGCAUUUUAGUAAUUUCAGUUGAAGAUAUUCCAUCAGUAGCUCCAACCGAUCAAGUCAUAGUGCAAGCCACAUCUUCAAGCCAGAGACAAGAGAUUGCUCUAAAAAUAGUAAGCUUAUCCGAUCCACUAGACUUUGUAUUAUCGGUACUUAACUCUUGGUUAAUUCAUUUUCCUCUGCUUCCAGGAACAAGGCUCUCCUGAUACUCUGUUCUCCUUUGCCAUCGACAUCUCUGAUGAUGAUGGCGAAGAGGCAAGCUCUUCAAUGGCGCUCGGAAUUGCAUUGGUAGAAAUCAAAUCCAAGCUAGAAGAUUUACUAGCUCUGUUGUAGCAGGACACAGCUCAGCUAGUAGAUGACUCUGAUCCAGCCAAUAUUAUCUUUAAGGGUCUCCACGGUCAGAUUCCUGCCGAUGUUGAGGAGAUACUUUUUCAAGCCGCCCAUUUAGAGAGUCGCCAACUGCAGUAUCAAAAGGUCGUUCAGCGUCUUGCCGAUAGAGCUGUCCUUGCUCAGCUCAAAGAGGAGAUGCUGCAAGUGAAGCACACUACCGAUGAGAAGCAUAAGAGCAUCGGCACUUUGCAAUCCUCGGGUGUUGAACUACAACAGAAAAUCUCCGACCUAUCGGCAAAGGGAGAAGCUUUGCUUGCUGAACUCAAACAAGUGGAGGAAGCUUUGACUCAGGCUCAGCAAGAAGAAAGUCAACUGCUCGAUGUACUCAGAAAUCUUCAGUAGGAGAGAGAUGCCCAGGCUCGCAAGGCACUGCAAAUGAAGAAGAAAUUGAAACUAGUGGAAGGCUCAGCCGAUGAAGAUACCAAAGAGAUAGAGGAAGCCAGUCAGAUUCGCCUGCGUGCGAUAUCGGCUAUGCAAACUUUGCUAAACUUAUAAAUCUCUUCAUCGGCAGUAUGCCUUAUUAGCUCUCUUGAAAACACCAGCAUUUGAUCUAGCCGAUAGGAUUGUUAUCGGCACCUAAACUUCCAUGCGUUGAUCCAGAUACACUAUUGUUUUGAUCGGCCGAUAAGACUGUUAUCGGCACUUAAACUUUUAUGCAUCAACCCAGAUACUGGGGUAGUAUCUUUUUAAAUAUUUUCCAUUUAAUGCCCUAGGAAAUUCAACUCCUUCGAGAGUUUCCAAAAUAUAAGCAUUGCCUGGGGCAGAUCGACUUAUCCGAUAAGGACCUUCCCAAUUAGGAGACCAUUUUCCAAAUUUUGAACUUUUAGUCCCAAUCGGUAGAAUUAACUUCCAAACCAAAUCCCCAUUGACAAACUCCUUGGCUUUUACCAUUUUAUCAUACCACUUAGCCACUCUCCUAUUGUUUUCUUCUAUGCUAAUUAAAGCUCUUAACCGAUGCUCUGCUAAAUCUUCCAAUUCAUCUUUCAUCAGAGUGGUAUAGUCAUCGGUAGUUAACUGAUCCUGAGAAAACAUUCGCCUAGAACCAAUUUUAAUUUCCCAAGGUAGUAAUGCAUUAUGUCCAUACACCAAUUGAUAAGGUGACACUUUGGUUGCACCAUGACACGCCAUCCGAUACGACGAUAAGGCCUCAUUUAACAGAGUAUGCCACCGCCUAGGAUUUUCCUCAAUCUUCCGUUUAAUGAGCUUAAUAAUCCCUUUGUUGGAAGCUUCGGCCUGUCCAUUAGCUUGAGCAUAGUAAGGAGAAUAGUUCAAUACUUUAAUAACCAUACCAAUUGCAAAUUCAUCAAACUCCCCUAACGUAAACAUAGUACCCUCAUCGAUAGUAAUUGUUUGAGGAAUGCCAAAUCGAUAAACAAUAUGCUCUUUUACAAAAUUAAUCAUAUUGGCCGAUGUUACUUUCUUUAAAGUAAUAGCCACAACCCAUUUAGUGAAAUGAUUAGUGGCAAUAAGAAUAAACUUAUGCCCUUUACUCAAUGGUGGAUAAAUUUGACCGAUGAGAUCAAUAGCCUAACCCCGAAACGGCCAAGGUUUAAUAAUAGGAUUCAUAGCCGAUGCGGGUGCCCUUUGAAUAUUACCAAACUUUUGACAUCCUUGACACCCUUUGAAAUAUUUGAAACAAUCCUCAAGGAUAGUCGGCCAAUAAUAACCAUUCCUUCUAAUCAUCUACUUUAUUUUAAAAGCCGAUUGAUGUGCUCCACAUACCCCCUCAUGAAUUUCACCCAUCAAGCUUUUGGAUUCAUCAUCACCCAAACAUCUAAGCAAAAUUCCAUCUACUGUACGAUAAUAUAAUUCAUCAUCAAGGAGUACAUACUUAGUAGCUUGAAAUCUAACACGUCUUUCAACUUUCCUAGAUGGAUUUUUUAGAUAAUCAAUAAUUUCUUUCCUCCAAUCAUCGGCACUAAAUGCCGAUAACACCUCCAAGAUGGGUUGAUAUCCUACGGCGUGUUGGGCCAACCGAUUAGCUUCUUCAUUAUGUAAACGAGGAAUAUGCUCCAAACAGAAAUCCCUGAAUUCAUCUAAUAAUUGUAAACAACUUUCAUCAUAUGCUAUCAAAAUCUCACUUCGACAAUCAUAAAUCCCAGCCAACUGAUUUAUAACAAGCAUAGAAUCACCAAAUAUUUCGACAGCAUCGGAAUGAACUUCCUUUAAUAACUCUAAUCCUUUGAUUAGGGCUUGGUACUUAGCUUGAUUGUUUGUUGAUGUAGCAACAAUUGGCAAAGAAAACUCGUAUUUCUUUCCUCGAGGUGAAAUCAAUACUAUACCGAUACCUGCCCCUUGAUCACAUGUAGAUCCAUCAAAGAAAAGCGUCCAAGGAGCAAUCUCCAAAGCACUCACCAAACCACAAUGCUGAGUAACAAAAUCAGCCAUAAUCUGUUUUUUGACUGCUUUAGCCGAUUCAUAACAUAGAUCAAAUUCUAACAAUGCUAAUAUCCAUUCGCCGAUUCUACCACUCACAUCGACAACAUAUAUCUGACUACGUCAUCUUGCAUAUAAUAGUACAUUCAGCCGAUAGCAAAUAAUGCCUCAACUUAAUACAAGAAAAGUACAGGCACAGGCAUAAUUUUUCAAUAGCCGAAUACCUUGUCUCAGCAUCUACCAAUCUUCUACUUAAGUAAUAAAUCACACAUUCUUUCCCUUCAAAUUCUUGAAUGAGAGCUGAACCAAUAACCACAUCAUCGGACGACAAAUUAGCCUGAAAGGUUUUCCAUGCUGAGGUGGAACCAAUACUGGAGGAUUUGUCAAAUAAUUCUUAAUUUUGUCCAAAGCUAGUUGUUGCUCUUUUCCCCAUACAAAUUCCUGAUCGGCUUUUAACUUAAGUAAAGGGCUGAAAGCUCAGAUUUUACCCGACAAAUUAGAUAUAAAUCGUCUGAUAAAAUUAAUCUUGCCGAUCAAGGAUUGAAGCUCAGUUUUAUUAGUAGGAGCAACUACUUUGUUGAUUACAUCAAUGGAUCUCCUGCUAAUUUCAAUUCCUCUCUGAUGCAUCAUAAAACCCAAAAACUAACCUGCCGAUACACCAAAUGCACAUUUAUUAGGGUUCAUCUUCAAACCAUGCUUCCUCGUGCAUUCUCGUACCUUUCGCAAAUCGGCUAGAUGUUUUAUGAAAUCCCUAGACUUAACCACCACAUCAUCAAUAUAGAUCUCUACCAACUUGCCGAUGAACUCAUGGAAAAUAAAAUUCAUGGCCCUCUGAUAAGUAGCACCAGCAUUUUUCAAGCCGAAAGUCAUGACUAUCCAUUCAAACAACCCAACAUGACCAGGGCACCUAAAUGCAGUCUUGGGAAUAUCCUCCUUGGUCAUGAAUAUUUUAUUGUACCUGUAUUGCCAUCCAUGAAACUAAUAAUCUGAUGCCCAGCUGCAGCAUCAACCAACAAAUCGGCAACUGGCAUUGGAUAACCAUCCAUCGGCGUAGCUUUGUUGAGAUUUCUAAAGUCGAUGCAUACACGAAGCUUUCCAUUCUUUUUGUAAACAGGAACAACAAUGAAAAUCCAUUCGGCAUACCGACACUGCCGAACAAACUUAGCUUCAAUGAGUUUGGCUAUUUCGGCCUUAAUAUCAGGAAGAAUAUUAGGGUUACAUCGGCGCGUCGGCUGCUGAUGUGGCCAAAAUCUGGAUUUAAUAGGCAACCGAUGUUCAACAAUGGAUCGGUCUAAACCAGGCAUCUUAGUAUAAUCUCAAGCAAAGCAAUCUUUAUAUUCCUUUAACAAAUCGGUUAAUUGCCGCUUACAUUCAGAAUCUAACUUAGCACUAAUAAAAGUAGGUCUCGGCUUAUUACCACUACCUAUGUCUACUUCUACUAAAUCAUCAGCCGAUAUAAAUCCCUGUCCUAACUUACCAUCAUCGGCGAACCUAUCCAUUAAAACCCUUCAUCAGAACCGACUGCUUGGAUCGGUGGAAUUUCAUAAGCGGCAACUUUGAGAAAAUCUUUCUCCGAAGCUUCUCCCGAUAUGCAUCUGGUUCGCUCAUGUAACAUCCCCGAUGUUAUGGUUACUAAAAUUUGGAUCAUGUCAUCAUCAGCAUUGCAUAGCAUAUUUGUUAAGCACACCCUGAUGCAUUAACUUAAAACAAGUUUAAUUUGGUUGAAUGUGCUUAGGGAAUUAAAGUGUGUUUAUAUUGUGUAUGGAUGCUUGUGUUGGUUUCUAAAACCCUAGGGUGAAAGAUUUCCGAAAGAUUAGGGGGGAAAACCCUGAUUUUUGAACCCUAGAAUUGCCCCCUUUUGCACAAUUUAAAAUCCAAGCAAAAUUUGAGGUUGAGUUCAAAAGCAAAGUUGUAGAUCUUGUCAAGAUGUACAACUUUGGUGUUUUGAGUUUUUGAAGUUUCAAUAUAAAAUUCAAAGUAAUUUUGAAAAUACAGAUUUCCAGAUAGUGUCCCCUUUUCCAAUUUGAACCUCCAAUUCAAAAUUUGUUUGGAAUUUUGAAAAGUGGCCAACAUGAAAGUUGUAGAGCUCAAAAAGUUGAACAACUUUCAUUUUGGGAGUUUUUCAAGUUGUUAUGGAAAAUCAAAAGUAAUUUUGGAAAUUCUGAUCUGCCCCAAUUCAAAAAUUUGAAUUUCCCUAAAUUGAAUUUUGAACUUCAAACUGUUUGGUCAAAUUUACCAAUUUCCACCCAGAUUUAGCUUUGGUCACCAAAAGGAGUUUUGUAGCUUGUAGAAUUCUGCACAACUUUUGUUUUAACAGAUUUUGGACUGUAAUUCAAACUUUGGUCGAAUUUCACAAAAAGAUAGAAAGGGAGAGGAGAGGGACGGCUACAGUGAUCCGAUGAGGAUCAACGGCCCCUGUCCAGCGCAGCCGCCGCGCAGGCAGCGCCGCGCGCAUGCGUGCGAGCACGCAGCUGCUUGCCUGCCAGUGCCGCCAGGCGACGUGGAAUCCCCGUGCGUGCUCUACUCGGGUAUAAAGCCGCUCCACCGGCCGACGCGCCUCUGUUUGCCUCCGAGAACGCCGACGAGCUACACCUGCGCCACCGUGAAAUUUGCCUCCCUUGAUCCCUUUCCAAGCCACCCGAGCGCGCCACCAUCUCUGCCACCCUCUUGCGAACCCAACGCACGCCUAGAAGCACUUCCUGCCUCUCCCAAUCGCUCGGACUCCCUGUUCUUCUCCAACUCCGGCCGAAACCGCCGCCGUGGAACUCUCUCCGUGGCCGCGCUGUUCCAGUGAGCAAUAUACCUGGCUAGCGGAUGUUUCCGGUUCCUCUUUAUCCGUAGAAGCUCAUGCGCUUUCUCUUUUUCCCUAGACGCGAACAGGAUCGCCGGAACGACCUCGCCGGAGCCGGAGCACCCGCCCGACCACACGGCCAUCGGCGCCAAGGCCUUCUACUGCUUCUCCCGCCGUGGUGAUGUGAGCACCAUGUUCCUUAACCUUCGUGGAAGCUCCCUAGCACGUCCGUUUGCGCUCUACCGAGCCCUAGUGGCCGGUCCGCGGUCGGUCAUGGCGGCCGCCCGCCUUUCGCGUGGCCAAGGUGGAAGGGAGAGGGUAGAGCGUGAGUAGAGGAUGUCAACGGAGUCGCGAAGACGAGGCGAGGCCGAUGCGCACGUGCGCGCGGGCCGAGAACCUCGCUAACGGCGGCCAGAGCCGUGGCCAAGCCGCCGUGCGCGGUAGAGACGAAGCUGACGGGUGGGGCCUCCCCGUCAGCGUCUGGCAGAGAGAGGGGAGGGGGCGGGUUCAGCGCGUGGGCCGGCUUGGGCCAAAGCCAAGCGGGCCGGCCGCGUAACACAGUGUGUUUUUCCUUUUUCCUUUUUGUUUAAAAAUGCUUGAUGUUUGAAUUUGAAUAGAAAAUCAUGUAUUGAUCCAAAAAUAAUGAAACUUUUUGUGUAGGUUCUAUGAAAUGAAUAGAACACAGGAAAAAUAUUAGGUUCUAUUUUUUGAUAGUUUGCAUGUAUAUAAAAAUUACAUCUUUUAAUUAGUAAAUGAAACUUCCAUGAAUUUUAAUAAUUUAUUUAUAUGUCCACAAAUCACCAAAAUUUGUGGGAUACCUCUGAAUAUUAUUCCCUGGCUUCACACAAAAUUUGGUGGCAUUUGGGUAACGUUUGAAUAAAAUAUUAUUAAACCCUUAAUUAAUAAUUAAAUAAUCAUUCUAGAAUAAUUAAAUAAUAAUUAGUUAAAUUCUCAAAAUUAGGAUUUGAGUGAUUUUGGGAUUAUGUGAUGACCUGAGGUCAUUAACCUUAAUGACCUUUGGCAUUUAACUAUUGUUUGGCCUUAAUGCUUAAUUGCUGUUAUUAAUACUUAAUGAAGAAGUAAUUAAGAUAAAAAGGGUUAAUAAUUAGUGGAUUAAGAAUAAUUAUGAAUUAAGAGAAAUCUUAAUUUACAGAUGUAACCUCUUGGGUAAAGACACUAAAAUGAUAAACAACUUUAAUUAUUGUUUAGUCUAUGUUGCACCAAGAGGGCGAGUAGUACUCAACUUGGUCCUUCUUGCAUAUUUGUCAUACGCAUAUCAUGAGCAUCCAUCAUUUUGCGUAUAGUGUCCGCGACCGAAGGAGCGACCGUUGAACCGAACCCCGAGGUCGGUGCUCCGUUCGAGAAAGUAGGAUCCGAGACUUGGGAAGUCUCCGAGGGUCCCUCUCAGCUCUGCAACCAAGGCAAGCCCCGGAUGCAUUAACCCCUCCUUGAAUGUUUUAAAUCUUUUAUCACUUAUGAAUUGACAAUGCUGCAUUAGGUAGUCGAGAAUUGGGUUAACCUACUUGCUGCAUUUACUACCUUGAUAAUUGUUAUCUUGUCCUUUGCACCUGUCUUAAAUGAAAAUCGCGUAGUGAUGCUUAGCCCUGCUACUAGAUAGGUUUUCAAACAAAGUUUGAAGGGUUGUUGUGGGAUACACUUAUGGUCAAUGAUGUUUCAACUUGAGACCGGUCGGUGGACUUGCUUUAAGAAUGGAGUCUUAAAGUAGUGUCUCCAACUGUGUUGGUUAAGGACCGGUCCGUUGGUGGCCUGAUGGGUUGAGAAUUUAUAGUACUAGCCACUUACCCUCGGUAAGCCCGGUCUUGUGAUCCCUCGAUGCGAACAGCUACUCGCGCACUGGGCGUGGAGCGAUGGCGAGAGUAGCGUGUACUCACCUUACGUAUCUGAGAUGACCGGAAAACAUCUAGAUCGGUUGUAGGAUGGUGGGGUACUGUGCUCUCGGGUGCCGUGAACCUAGUCAAAUUUGGGGAGAGCUUGAUUUGGGUUGACAUAUGCAAGAUUUGGUUCUACAUAUGUCGGGUGGUUAGGAACUCCAGCUGGAUUGCUAAGCGGUUCGAAUCGUCGUUGCUCCCCGAUUGGGAGACUCAAUCCACCGACCCUCAUCGUAGAUAACUAUGCAACUAAGUGAUAAAAUGAGAAAGGGGAAAAUGUCUCAUGAGGUUCGGAUCCCAAUUCCCGGACUCAGAGUGACAUGAAGCUAUGGCCGUUGGAUAGAUAAUACUUUGAUUAAGGAUUAGGAGCUCACAGACUUGUCUGUGAGAAGCAACUAGAUAGAUUGUCCUCGAACUCCUCGACCUCUUAAGGAGAGGAAUUCGCGGGUAAAACUUGAAAGUAAGGAUGCAAUAUUAGUAAGCUUUUAGCAAAACACUUUGGCUCCUGGCUCAGCCACUCCUUGUCUACCCUAAGCCUGCAUUCCUAAUUUCUCCUCUUUUUCUACCGGGUAAGUCUUGUUGAGUACUCCCGUACUCAGGGUUUUAUAACCCCUGUUGCAGGUGAAGCUCAGGGGCCGACUUGUUUCGGAACCUGUUGUGUGUCCGUCGUCGAGGUUGACGACGAAGAAGAGUGAGCGUGACCCAUGGGCAGGGUCUGUAAAUUUGUAAUCUGUGUACUAAAGUUUAAGUUGCUCCGCUGGACCUAGCUUGUAAUAACACUCUACUAUUUGGAAGAACUCCUUUUAUAAAUUAAGUUAUGUAAGACUUCCGCUGUUUUACUCUGAAAUAUUAUUUUGGUCUUAUGUCGUCUGUGAUACUGCAAUGUCUUCGCAACGAGUGAUCCUAGUGUUAAGGUGGCCACUUGCUAUCAUGUAAGGGCGAGGAGAAGAAAUUUUCGAUAAUUGACCAUUGCUAGUGGUCAAGACGAGCUUGUUUGAUACGCCCCAGGUAGCGGUGGCAUGAGCGUCCUGAGAUGCUCAUCGGACUUCUAGAGUGGGAGGAUCCCCGGCAUCACCGUCAAAGGUCCUUAGGACAAUGACAGGUGUCGGUGGGCCCAAACACUUAGGAGGUUCUGCCACAGCUGGUAUCAGAGCAUUCGUUGCUAAGAUGACUGAUGACUGUUGUAUCCUUUGAAAAACUUCAAAACCAUUUGGAUCCAAUACUAUAAACUUGCCUAUUUUGAGUCCAAGUGCUUUAGUCCUAUCUUAUCCUUGUCUGUAUGCUUUACUAGAAUUUUUGAGGUCAUGUGGUGGAGCAACAUAAAGUAUUGCCCUAUGUUGUAAAAAAAUAUUUUGAAGUAAUAUCGUUAUGAAUCGCUAAUAGGAAUCGUAAGUACGUGCAUGCAUCAUGAUAUAUUACUUGGUUAAAUUCCUUCCUCCUUGUUUGGGUUGGGUUGCAUAGAAUCAAUCCCAUUCUUGCUAACCUUUAAGGUCUCCCUUACUAAUCUAAACUUACCCUCUACAGGAUGGCUCGUUGGAAGCACACCCCGCGCAAGAGGACUGGUCCAAAAGGGGUCCCUAGACACCAGUUGGCCCCGCGAGGCGAUCAAGCAAGCAGUAGCUGUUCACCGCCUCAGCAGGAGGUGGAAAGUUUGUCCGCCGAGCUGACCGAAGUGACGAGAGAAAGGAUGUACAACGUCAUGGAGAUCAGUGAACUUAAAGCCCAACUAGCAAAGCAAACACAAGCCACCGAGAACUGCGAGGCGAUGCUGUCUCGUAUGGUGGAAGAAAGGAACGCCGCUUUUGCCCGAGAAGAGGAGGCCAAGAGCGCAUACAGGCAUGAGCUGACUAGGAUGAAGGCAAAGCUGGACAAGACCAAGUACCUUAAAGAUCUGUACGUGAAGAUGACGGCCACUGUCACCGCGCAGAGGGAUGUCGCGUGGCAGCGGGAGGACCAGCUACAGCUGGAGAAGCUUGAGCUGGCACAUCAUUUAGACACCGUCAACGACUUGGCAAUGCAAUAUCGUGAUAUUUCAUUCGACCUAUAUCAUCAGCUCCAUCCACCUCCAGGCGAAGGAGAGAUGGAUACGGACGGAGAGUUGGCGGAUGCUGGGGAACCCGACCAAGACCUCAGUGACGAGGAGGAAUCUGACUCCGGUGAUGACAACCCGGGGGGUAAUCAUGACGAUGGCAAUGACGACCCGGGCUACAGCUCUGGCCACACCGACUAGUUCGGUGAAGCCGCGGGCAACGUCGUUGUAGGAUUCCUAGUUUACCAUAGUGGGGUCGGGUCUGUAGUAUAAAGUUUUCUUUUAGUUUAAGAAGUUGUACUCGUUUGUUUCUAGUGUGUUGAACUGAUGUUUGAAAAAUAAAUGGAAGUAUGUAAGAUAUGUCCUAAGUUAUGAAUUUCAUGUGGUAACAAGUACAUAUGACUCUUGUAGCAGAUGCCGAUGCGUACACGAGGAUCUGAUGGAGCCGGGUCAUCUCAGGGAGGGGAGGACAUUCCCAGCCCUCCACCUGCUCCACCUUCUCUGGCUGAUGCCAUUGCUAUUCUUUUGAGUGCCACUACUGACAACGCUCGCUUGUUGCGCGAGUUAGCACAACGCCAACCACACCCCGCCCCAAACUUCACGGCACAGCACAAUGGGGACGGAGAAACUCGGUACGUGGACUUUACCGAGACAAGGCCCCCGGUAUUCACUAAGGCUGAUGAGCCUUUAGAAGCUGAUGACUGGCUGCGAACGAUGGAGCACAAGUUCAGUCUGAUCCGAUGUCAGGAAACUCAGAAGCCCCUGUUCGCAGCUCAACAGCUUCGGGGAGCUGUGGGUGCCUGGUGGGAGAAUUUUCUAGCUAUCCAAGCUCCGGGACACCAGGUCACCUGGACAGAGUUUAAGGACGCGUUCCGCGCCCAUUACAUCCCUAAAGGGCUUAUGGCCAUGAAGGCCGAAGAAUUUCUCGCCUUGCAGCAAGGCGAUAAAAGUGUCAUGGAGUACGUGGCAAAAUUUAAUCAUCUUUCUCAAUAUGCCACAGACCAUGUGAACACGGAUAGAAAGAAGAAGGCCUGUUUCAUGCGUGGUCUAAAUACCAAACUUCAGACCAUGAUGACCACCUGUCAAAUGCUACCUUCUACGAGGCGGUAAAUAUUGCCAUCGUCUCAGAAGAAAAGAAUAGAAAGCACUAAGAAGCCAAGAAGAAGGCCGCUUCUUCCUCCUUCUCUGGUGGCGGUCAAAAGCGCCAGAGAAUCAUUUAUCAUCCGUAGGGCCACGGACGCUUUUCAGCGCCGCCACCUUAUCGUGGUCCCUUCUCCCCUCCACAAUAUAGACCAGGGCAGCAGGUAUAUCCUCAACCUACUGCCAUCGCCAUUGCACCACGCCAGCCGAACGCCCCAGGUGUUCGCCCCGCUGCUCCGCCCAACCACAAUUAUCCUUGUUUCAAUUGUGGUAAGCCUGGGCAUUUUUCCAAAGAGUGCCCCUACCCCCGCCAAACCAAUUCCACUUUCCAAAGGCCACCCAUGGGCCAACCCCAGCCGAGCCAAUUCAGGACUGGGGCUCAGAAAGGUCAAAAUGUGCAAAGGGGUAAACUAGCGAAGAAAGUGGGACAAGUCUUCCAUACAGAGGGGGAGACGAUCCCGGAGGGAGAACCAGUAAUGAUGGGUACGUUUCCUGUUGCGAAACAUCCUGCUUUAAUGCUUUUUGAUUCUGGUGCAUCUCAUACGUUCAUCAACCGCACCUUUGUGAUAAAGCAUGGCAUACCCAUUGGGGAAACAAAAGAUCAUUUUUAUAUACAGUCGCCAGGAGGACGGCUGAGUUCUAAAGAAAUGGUUCACCAAAUACCCAUCGAAUUUGGUGGGCAUAGUUUUCCCACUAGCAUGAUUGUUCUUAAAGACCAGGAGAUUGAUGUCAUACUAGGUAUGAACUGGAUGGCACAACGAGGGGUUGUGCUAGACAUUUUGCAUCGAACCAUUAAAAUACCCUUGCCCAAUGAGAAUUCUUACCUUCUGAUCCAGUUAGCUACUCCCAAACGGGCAAUGGGGCAGGUUUAUGCCACUAAUGUGGCUGCGGUCAAAAAUAUCCCGGUGGUUCGGGAUUUUCCGGAUGUAUUUCCUGAAGACCUACCAGGUCUGCCACCGGACUGGGAUGUCCAGUUCAGUAUAGAAUUGAAACCAGGGACAGCCCCAAUAUCUCAAAGGGCCUACAGAAUGGCACCGAAAGAACUGGCUGAAUUAAAAACCCAACUACAAGAGUUGUUGCAAAAAGGUUUUAUUCAGCCCAGUUCCUCACCAUGGGGUUGCCCAGCCUCAUUUGUGAAAAAGAAAGAUCAAACAUUAAGGCUGUGUGUCGAUUAUCGUCCCCUGAAUGAGGUGACGAUUAAGAACAAGUACCCAUUGCCCCGUAUUGACUUACUAUUUGACCAGCUAGCCAGGGCCAAAGUGUUCUCAAAAAUUGAUUUGAGAUCAGGGUACCAUCAAAUCAAAAUUAGACCGGAGGAUGUACCCAAAACGGCUUUUACAACCUGUUAUGGGCUGUAUGAAUACUUGGUGAUGUCUUUUGGGUUGACCAAUGCACCGGCUCAUUUCAUGUACUUGAUGAACUCUGUCUUCAUGCCAGAGCUGGACAAAUUUGUGGUCGUCUUCAUUGAUGACAUCUUGAUCUAUUCCAAGACUAAGAAAGAACAUGUUGAACAUCUGAGGAUUGUGCUGACUCGUCUCAGGGAGCAUCAGUUAUAUGCCAAGUUCAGCAAAUGUGAGUUCUGGCUGGACAAAGUUCAUUUCCUGGGUCAUGUAUUAUCAGCGGAGGGAGUCGCUGUAGACCCAGGUAAAGUAGAAGAGGUGUUGAAUUGGAAGCCCCCGACUACGGUACAUGAGGUCCGUAGUUUUCCGGGUAUGGCGGGAUAUUACCGACGCUUUAUCCCGGACUUUUCAAGAGUCGCUAAACCAAUCACGACCUUGCUCAAGAAUCAAACAAAAUUUGUUUGGUCACUUGAAUGUGAGCAAGCCUUCCAGACUCUGAAAAGAUUAUUGACAACUGCACCAGUCUUAACCCAGCCAGAUAUUGAAAAGCCCUUUGAUGUGUAUUGUGACGCAUCAGGGAUAGGGAUAGGCUGUGUGCUAAUGCAGGAGGGUCGCGUAAUUGCAUAUGCUUCCAGACAUCUUAAACCACAUGAAGAGAGUUACCCGACCCAUGAUCUUGAACUAGCCGCCGUAGUACAUGCAUUAAAAAUCUGGCGCCAUUACCUGUUGGGAAGCACUUGCCAUCUAUACACAGAUCACAAGAGCUUGAAGUAUAUCUUCACUCAAGCUGAAUUGAAUAUGCGCCAGCGAAGGUGGCUAGAGUUGAUUAAAGAUUACGACCUGGAGGUGCACUAUCACCCUGGCAAAGCAAAUGUAGUAACUGAUGCCCUCAGUCGUAAGGCUCACUAUAAUUGCUUAAUAGUGACGCCUAAAGAUAUAACUUUGUGCCAAGAGCUAGAGAACCUAGGGAUAGAAAUGAUUUUCCAAGGAAGCCUUGCCAAUUUAACGGUUGAUUUCAAUCUCGAAGCUCAAAUCAUAAAGGCACAAAAAGAGGACAAAGGGAUGAAAUAUCUUAAAGAGAAAAUUUCUAAUAGAGCACCCACAGACUUUAAGGUGGAUGAUGCAGGAGUAAUCUGGUUCAAAAACCGAUUAGUGGUUCCCAAGGUACCUGAGCUACGUCAGCAAAUCAUGGAUGAAGCUCAUAAUACCAGAUAUUCUAUUCAUCCGGGGAGCAAUAAAAUGUAUCAGGACCUGAAGCAAAGGUUUUGGUGGACGAAAAUGAAAAUAGAAAUAGCCCGCUAUGUAGCCCAAUGUGACACCUGCCGAAAGGUCAAAGCUAUUCAUCUCAAAUCCGCUGGAGAGUUGCAACCUUUGCCUAUUCCAGCAUGGAAAUGGGAUGAUAUUAGUAUGGAUUUCAUAGUAGGGUUGCCCAAGACGGCCAAAGGCUUUGACUCUAUUUGGGUCAUUGUGGAUCGUCUCACCAAAACAGCACACUUCUUACCUGUAAAGAAAUCGUAUUAUACCUCCACCUAUGCUAAGAUUUAUUUUGAUCCUAUACUAAGUCUGCAUGGGGUGCCAAAGACAAUAGUGUCAGAUAGAGGCACACAAUUUGUCUCCCAGUUCUAGAAAUGCUUACAUGAAUCUUUGGGCACCAAGCUUUUAUACAGUACAGCCUACCACCCUCAAACAGGUGGGCAAACAGAGAGGGUGAAUCAAACCCUAGAAGAUCUAUUAAGAUCUUGUGCCCUGAAUUUUCCAGAUAAGUGGGAUGACUGCUUGCCUCUGGCAGAGUUUUCUUACAACAAUAGCUACCAAGAGAGUAUCAAGAUGGCUCCCUUUGAGGCACUAUAUGGCCGUCGAUGUCGAACUCCGUUACACUGGUCGGAACCCGGAGAAAGAUGGUUCUUCGGGGUUGACUUAGUGAAAGAGACUGAGAACAAAGUUAGACAAAUCCAAAAUAACUUGAAAGUUGCUCAGUCCCAAUAGAAAAGUUAUGCCGAUCAAAGACGUCGACCAUUAAGGUUCGCCAAGGGUGAUCAUGUGUAUUUGAAAGUAUCCCCAAUGAAAGGAGUAAAUCGUUUUGGCGUUAAAGGCAAGUUAGCGCCCCGUUACAUUGGUCCAUUUCCAAUUAUUGACCGAUGUGGACAGGUAGCUUACUGCCUUAAACUGCCCGAACGAUUAUCCGGGAUACAUAAUGUAUUCCAUGUGUCUCAAUUGAAAAAGUGUCUUCGAGUACCAGACCAAGUUCAAGAUAUUGAAAAUGUGGAACUUAAACCAGAUCUAACUUAUGCGGAAUAUCCUAUACGAGUAUUGGACCAAAGAAAUAGAGUUACUCGAAGAACAACUACCAAGUGGUACAAGGUGCAAUGGAGCUAGCACUCCGAAGAGCUGUAACAUCCCCGAUGUUACGGUUACUAAAAUUUGGAUCAUGUCAUCAUCAGCAUUGCAUAGCAUAUUUGUUAAGCACACCCUGAUGCAUUAACUUAAAACAAGUUUAAUUUGGUUGAAUGUGCUUAGGGAAUUAAAGUGUGUUUAUAUUGUGUAUGGAUGCUUGUGUUGGUUGCUAAAACCCUAGGGUGAAAGAUUUCCGAAAGAUUAGGGGGGAAAACCCUGAUUUUUAAACCCUAGAAUUGCCCCCUUUUGCACAAUUUAAAAUCCAAGCAAAAUUUGAGGUUGAGUUCAAAAGCAAAGUUGUAGAUCUUGUCAUGAUGUACAACUUUGGUGUUUUGAGUUUUUGAAGUUUCAAUAUAAAAUUCAAAGUAAUUUUGAAAAUACAGAUUUCCACAAAGUGUCCCCUUUUCCAAUUUGAACCUCCAAUUCAAAAUCUAUUUGGAAUUUUGAAAAGUGACCAACAUGAACGUUGUAGAGCUCAAAAAGUUGAACAACUUUCAUGUUGGGAGUUUUUCAAGUUGUUAUGGAAAAUCAAAAGUAAUUUUGGAAAUUCUGAUCUGCCCCAAUUCAAAAAUUUGAAUUUCCCUAAAUUGAAUUUUGAACUUCAAACUGUUUGGUCAAAUUUACCAAUUUCCACCCAGAUUUAGCUUUGGUCACCAAAAGGAGUUUUGUAGCUUGUAAAAUUCUGCACAACUUUUGUUUUAACAGAUUUUGGACUGUAAUUCAAAUUUUGGUCGAAUUUCACAAAAAGACAGAAAGGGGGAGGAUAGGGACGGCUACAGUGAUCCGAUGAGGAUCACCGGCCCCCUGUCCAGCGCAGCCGCCGCGCAGGCAGCUCCGCGCGCAUGCGUGCGAGCACGCAGCUGCUUGCCUGCCAGUGCCGCCAGGCGACGUGGAAUCCCCGUGCGUGCUCUACUCGGGUAUAAAGCCGCUCCACCGGCCGACGCGCCUCCGUUUGCCUCCGAGAACGCCGACGAGCUACACCCGCGCCACCGUGAAAUUCACCUCCCUUGAUCCCUUUCCAAGCGACCCGAGCGCGCCACCAUCUCCGCCACCCUCUUGCGAACCCAACGCACGCCCAGGAGCACUUCCUGCCUCUCCCAAUCGCUCGGACUCCCUGUUCUUCUCCAACUCCGGCCGAAACCGCCGCCGUGGAACUCUCUCCAUGGCCGCGCUGUUCCAGUGAGCAAUAUACCUGGCUAGCGAAUGUUUCCGGUUCCUCUUUAUCCCCAGAAGCUCAUGCGCUUUCUCUUUUUCCCUAGACGCGAACAGGAUCGCCGGAACGACCUCGCCGGAGCCGGAGCACCCGCCGGACCACACGGCCAUCGGCGCCAAGGCCUUCUACUGCUUAUCCCGCCGUGGUGAUGUGAGCACCAUGUUCCUUAACCUUCGUGGAAGCUCCCUUGCACGUCCGUUUGCGCUCUACCGAGCCCUAGUGGCCGGUCCGCGGUCGGUCAUGGCGGCCGCCCGCCUUUCGCGUGGCCGAGGUGGAAGGGAGAGGGUAGAGCGUGAGUAGAGGAUGUCAACGGAGUCGUGAAGACGAGGCGAGGCCGAUGCGCACGUGCGCGCGGGCCGAGAACCUCGCUAACGGCGGCCAGAGCCGUGGCCGAGCCGCCGUGCGCGGUAGAGACGAAGCUGACGGGUGGAGCCUCCCCGUCAGCGUCUGGCAGAGAGAGGGGAGGGGGCGGGUUCAGCGCGUGGGCCGGCUUGGGCCAAAGCCAAGCGGGCCGGCCGCGUAACACAGUGUGUUUUUCUUUUUCCUUUUUGUUUAAAAAUGCUUGAUGUUUGAAUUUGAAUAGAAAAUCAUGUAUUGAUCCAAAAAUAAUAAAACUUUUUGUGGAGGUUCUAUGAAAUGAAUAGAACACAGGAAAAAUAUUAGGUUCUAUUUUUUGAUAGUUUGCAUGUAUAUAAAAAUUACAUCUUUUAAUUAGUAAAUGAAAUUUCCAUGAAUUUUAAUAAUUUAUUUAUAUGUCCAAAAAUCACCAAAAUUUGUGGGAUACCUCUGAAUAUUAUUCCCUGGCUUCACACAAAAUUUGGUGGCAUUUGGGUAAUAUUUGAAUAAAAUAUUAUUAAACCCUUAAUUAAUAAUUAAAUAAUCAUUCUAGAAUAAUUAAAUAAUAAUUAGUUAAAUUCUCAAAAUUAGGAUUUGAGUGAUUUUGGGAUUAUGUGAUGACCUGAGGUCAUUAACCUUAAUGACCUUUGGCAUUUAAUUAUUGUUUGGCCUUAAUGCUUAAUUGCUGUUAUUAAUACUUAAUGAAGAAGUAAUUAAGAUAAAAGGGUUAAUAAUUAGUGGAUUAAUAAUAAUUAUGAAUUAAGAGAAAUCUUAAUUUACAGAUGUAACCUCUUGGGUAAAGACACUAAAAUGAUAAACAACUUUAAUUAUUGUUUAGUCUAUGUUGCACCAAGAGGGCCAGCAGUACUCAACUUGGUCCUUCUUGCAUAUUUGUCAUACGCAUAUCAUGAGCAUCCAUCAUUUUGCAUAUAGUGUCCGCGACCGAAGGAGCGACCGUUGAACCGAACCCCGAGGUCGGUGCUCCGUUCGAGGAAGUAGGAUCCGAGACUUGGGAAGUCUCCGAGGGUCCCUCUCAGCUCUGCAACCAAGGCAAGCCCCGGAUGCAUUAACCCCUCCUUGAAUGUUUUAAAUCUUUUAUCACUUAUGAAUUGACAAUGUUGCAUUAGGUAGUCGAGAAUUGGGUUAACCUACUUGCUGCAUUUACUACCUUGAUAUUUGUUAUCUUGUCCUUUGCACCUGUCUUAAAUGAAAAUCGCGUAGUGAUGCUUAGCCCUGCUACUAGAUAGGUUUUCAAACAAAGUUUGAAGAGUUGUUGUGGGAUACACUUAUGGUCAAUGAUGUUUCAACUUGAGACCGGUCGGUGGACUUGCUUUAAGAAUGGAGUCUUAAAGUAGUGUCUCCAACUGUGUCGGUUAAGGACCGGUCCGUUGGUGGCCUGAUGGGUUGAGAAUUUAUAGUACUAGCCACUUACCCUUGGUAAGCCCGGUCUUGUGAUCCUUCGAUGCGAACAGCUACUCGCGCACUGGGCGUGGAGCGAUGGCGAGAGUAGCGUGUACCCACCUUACGGAUCUGAGAUGACCGGGAAACAUCUAGAUCGGCUAUAGGAUGGUGGGGUACUGUGCUCUCGGGUGCCGCGAACCUAGUCAAAUUUAGGGAGAGCUUGAUUUGGGUUGACAUAUGCAAGAUUUGGUUCUACAUAUGUCGAGUGGUUAGGAACUCCAGCUGGAUUGCUAAGCGGUUCGAAUCGUCGUUGCUCCCCGAUUGGGAGACUCAAUCCACUGACUCUCAUCGUAGAUAACUAUGCAACUAAGUGAUAAAAUGAGAAAGGGGAAAAUGUCUCAUGAGGUUCGGAUCCCAAUUCCCGGACUCAGAGUGACAUGAAGCUAUGGCCGUUGGAUAGAUAAUACUUUGAUUAAGGACUAGGAGCUCACAGACUUGUCUGUGAGAAGCAACUAGAUAGAUUGUCCUCGAACUCCUCGACCUCUUAAGGAGAGGAAUUCGCGGGUAAAACUUGAAAGUAAGGAUGCAAUAUUAGUAAGCUUUUAGCAAAACACUUUGGCUCCUGGCUCAGCCACUCCUUGUCUACCCUAAGCCUGCAUUCCUAAUUUCUCCUCUUUUUCUACCGGGUAAGUCUUGUUGAGUACUCCCGUACUCAGGGUUUUAUAACCCCUGUUGCAGGUGAAGCUCAGGAGCCGUCUUGUUUCGGACCCUGUUGUGUGUCCGUCGUCGAGGUUGACGACGAAGAAGAGUGAGCGUGACCCAUGGGCAGGGUCUGUAAAUUUGUAAUCUGUGUACUAAAGUUUAAGUUGCUCCGCUGGACCUGGCUUGUAAUAACACUCUACUAUUUGGAAGAACUCCUUUUAUAAAUUAAGUUAUGUAAGACUUCCGCUGUUUUACUCUGAAAUAUUAUUUUGGUCUUAUGUCGUCUGUGAUACUGCAAUGUCUUCGCAACGAGUGAUCCUGGCGUUAAGGUGGCCACUUGCUAUCAUGUAAGGGCGAGGAGAAGAAAUUUUGGAUAAUUGACCAUUGCUGGUGGUCAAGACGAGCUUGUUUGAUACGCCCCAGGUAGCGGUGGAAUGAGCGUCCUGAGAUGCUCAUCGGACUUCUAGAGUGGGAGGAUCCCCGGCAUCACCGUCAGAGGUCCUUGGGACAAUGACAGGUGUCGGUGGGCCCAAACACUUAGGAGGUUCUGCCACAGCUCAUAAGUAUCUGAUUCUGCCGAUGCAAUGAUGUAGGAAGAAUCUUCAGGAACAACCUCAAUUUUGUCACCUACCCAUUGCACAAGGCAUUGAUGCAUUGUAGAAGGAAUACAAUAGUUGGCAUGAAUCCAAUCUCUCCCCAACAGCAAAUUGUAUGCGCCUUUUCCGCUGAUGACAAAGAAAGUUGUCGGCAAGGUUUUGCUGCCGAUAGUCAAUUCAACACAUAUAGCCCCUUUAGCUGGGGAUACGUUACCCUCAAAAUCUUUUAACAUCAUAUCAGUCUUGGUUAAAUCCUGAUCUCCUUUACCAAGUUUCGGAUACAUUACAUACAGCAUGAUGUUAGCUGCAGCUCCUCCAUCAAUAAGUAUCUUGGAAACCGGUUGCCCACCAACCCUGCCUUUAACAAAUAAAGCCUUAAGAUGCUGCCUUUCAUCAUCGGAAGGUUUCUCAAAAACAGCUGUCAUCGGAUCAAGUGCCAACUGAGUUAUCUGAUCAGGGAAACUUAUUUCCUCAUCAUCACUAAAGGGCGCAAGAAACUCCAUCGGCAACAUAAACACCAUGUUGACAUCUGCCGAUGGUCCUUUUCCUUUACGGUCCAACUGCUGCCGACCCUCGGAUUUAGAAGAAUUUCCUCCCUGUUCAAAUCUUCUUGACGCUCCCAUUGCAUUCUCCUCCUCUACGUCCUUGUUAAUCCCUCCGGGCACCAUCGGGGAAGUUUUGUCUUCCAUACUGGCUAAUAGCAAACCUCCUUUGAUUCCACCCGAUGAAUAUUAGCAUCUCUGCAGAAUAUAAAUUCAUCGGGAACCCCAUGCAUUUGCCAUUUCUGCAAGUUCCUCCUGAUUCCUUGGAAAAUGGCUGACACAUUCACCAAGCCUGUCAUGCACACUAAGCCUACCCCCCAGCUGAUCAUGGACUGACGUUCUCCCCCUAAUUGGCCCAUUAAAACGUCGGUCAUUGUUCUAGAAUUUCUGAUAUGACCGGUCGUACCGAUGAUAACCAUUGCACUCAGGACAGUCUCGAACAGUCGGCAAUUUGAUAUUUUUUUCCCAACAAUGAAUGAAGAAUGGGCAAUUCCAGUGAUCUUUAUGCUGAUUUCAUUCUUUCCGCUCCCUCUCUUAUUGUUGACACCGAUAACGAUCCUCACGCUGCUGCCAAGUCUCCCGAUGCCACCUAUGAGUAAUAACAAUGCAGAGUGGGGAGGCCGUCCAGAGCUGCUACCUUCCUUUAUCAAGCCUUUGCCUUUGGCAUCAUCGGUUGUCACUUGAUGCUGAGGAUCCACCGAUGCGUUCUUUCAGCUGUUUCUGACGUUAAGACCUUAGUCUUACCUUUGGCAUCCAACAUGUUUGCAGGGAAAGGGCGUUGAUCAAUUUUCAUCAGCUUUUGAGCUUUGGAAUUAUCAAACUUGAUUCUCCCAGAUUCUAUAGCCGAUUGCAAUUGCUGCCUAAACACUUUGCACUCAUUUGUGUUGUGUGAUGUUGCAUUAUGCCAUUUGCAAUACUUGAUUUUCUUUAGCUCCUCUACCGAUGGGAUCACAUGAUUAGGUGAAAAUUUAAUCUGCCCUUCCUGAAGCAAAAAAUCAAAUAUUCUAUCGGCUUUGGUGAUAUCUAAAGCAAACUUUUUCUGGUUCUUUUUGACCAAAAGGACAAGACAUAGGCUUUUUAUCAGAAUCAGAGCCGAUGACUGGUUCUUCAUCAGAAUCAGAGCUCUCAGCUUCCUCAACAAAUGAUACUUUGUUAUUCCAAGCCUAUCUUGGUUCAAAAGCCUUGAUGUCUUGAUCAGAAAUUCUCUGCACCAGAUGACUCAAACUUUCAAACUAUUGAGAAGCAUAUUUAUCCUUGAUAUGUGGUAACAAUCCUUGAAAAGCCACAUCGGCUAACUGCCGAUCAUCCAGAACCAGACUUUAUCAUUUGUUCUUAACGUCCCGCAACCUCUGCACAAAGCUUUCCACCGAUUCAUUGUUACGUUGUCUUAAUCUCACUAAAUCAGUAAUAUUCUUCUCAUGUACUCCAGAAAAGAAAUAUUUAUGAAACUGCUUUUCUAGAUCGGCCCAGGUAAUAACUGAGUUUGGAGGCAACGAAAUAAACCAGGUAAAUGCUGAUCCUGACAAAGAUGAUGAAAAUAAAUGAACUCUUAACUCAUCUCUGUUAGCAGCUUCUCCACACUGAAUGAUGAACCGAUUGACGUGUUCCAUGGUUGAUGUGUCAUCUUGCCCAGAGAACUUAGUGAAAUCUGGUAUCUUGUACUGAUUUGGGAGUGGAAUCAAGUCAUAAGUAGGAGGAUACGGUGUUCGAUAAGAAUAGGUGUUAACCUUGGGUUUUAUUCCAAGCUGAUCCCUCAUAACUUCUGCUAUCUUAUUGGCCCAAUAGGCAUCUGCAUCCUGCUGAUGUACAGGUUGAACUUCUGGUACCUGCUAAUAAGCUUCCACAUGUCUCUAGGGGUACACGAUCUCCAGCAAACAUCAUGUUAGCCAUAGCUUGCUGACCACCAAUCUGCUGAGCAAGAUUCAUCGGCUGAUUUGCCAGCCCUUGAUUCUGAAAGCCAAGCUGCAUCUGACCUUGCUGGAAUCCUGUAGCCUGAUGAUUCUGUUGUGUUGCAUGUGGAAAGACAGGCUGCCCUGUCCAAGCAUUAUUAGUGUUCAUCGGCGCAGGUCCUGCCGAUGGCUGAUAAUUAGUUGUUAUGGUUGGGUCAACAUAACCUGUCUGAGUCAUAAACCUCUAUUGAGUCGGCAAUGGAUUUGCCGAUGAAUUUGCGUUAGGCAUCUGGAACAUUGGCAUUUGAAAAUUCCCCGUAACAGGCCUUGCAGUAGUAGUUGUAGAAUACUGAGCAAUUUGAAUCAUCGGCGAAACUAGAGACGCCGAUGUCAUAGGAGCUUUUCCUACUAAGUUACCUGAGAGGUUCUAGAACUAUUUGUGAAAAAUUGUGGAGGCACACCAUAUCUCCACCAGUUGGGAGGAACCUGACAAUUCUGAAAUACAGACCCUAACAUUGCCGAUGCCGAUAGAUCCGUAUUAAGCUGAACCCGUCCCCCUGAUGUUGUUGGAUUAGGUCUCAUAGGUGUAGAUUGCUCAUUAGUCAAUCCUAAUGUGCUUGGAGGAGAAGUAGCUUCUGUACCUGCAACGGCUGGAGGAGCUGAUGGAGCCGUGACCGAUGAUAAUCCUGGCUGAUGGUAUGCCAGGCCAGCAUAAAGUGGUGGUGUCUGUCCUUCUUUAAAAGUUCGAACCACAGCAUUGUAAACAGUAUUAGACCGCACAUUGGAGUGAUUGAUCAAAGUGUGAUUAACAUCAGUGUUGACCAUGUCUUGCAAUUUACCAAGAUUAGGAUCAAAAGUAACCUGUCGAGGCAUCGGCAGAUCCCGCUUCUGGAUAACUUUCCCGCUCCUGUUCAUACUUGAAGAAUUUCAGACAGAGCUGCCUGUAUUCCUCCAUAACCCUGUCCAUGGCCUACUUCUGUUCGUCUCUGAGAUCAGCUUCCGUCACAGCAAUGACAUUAUCCGCGUCGAGGUCAGUAGUAGCUAUGUUGAUCUUGUUGAUAGAUUGGUCCCACCGGGCGUGCCAAAAGAUGUGUUGAUGCAAAAGUAGAUCUGCAAACACAAAGGGCUAAUACCCGAUUCGAACGUUGAGGCGUGCUGGCCGAUUUGACCUAACAAUCGACAAAGGUGGUAACUUGAAUACUUUGGUCCCGACAACAGCGAUGCGCCUGGAUGCCACGGCCAAGAGGUAUUCACGCGGAACUCGAGAAUUCGUCGAGUAUUACUCGUCGAAUUCUUAAGAACUCGUAAAUAGAAGAAAAUAUGCGAGUUGACGAAGUCGUCGAAAAAAUAGAUGUAAAAGUAGAUGUAAAACUUGUGUAUGAUAUUGAUUGAUUGUCCUUCUUACAUUGCUACUAGAUCUAUAUUUAUACCCUGACCUAAAGAGUUACAACCGUAUACGAUUAGGACUUUAAUUCUAAACAAAACAGGACUUUUACAUAAGGCAAACUCUAACAAAUAUGGAAAACUACCACCUAUCUAUUUCAGCACCGGCUUUAAUUACGAUGACACUUUUCAUCGGCUCUGCUUCAUCGGCAUAUUUUGUUGCCUCCAUGUAUCUUCCUUAGCAAUUUCCAUACCCUUCUUCAUCGGUAUCAGCGAUCAUCGGUCGUCGGCUUUUAAUCGGCAAUAAUCAGUAGCUAUCAUCUCAACCCUCAGGCCAGCAACAUCUUCCACCUAUCAUACUAUCAUCGGCAUUAUCUACCAUCGGCAAUCAUCUCAUCGGUUUGACACAGUAUUUUUCUUACCGCCGAUCAGCUCUCCCCAGCCAUCCUGACUUGCGCCUAAAAAUGGUGUCAACAGAUGUAAAUCAAUAUAUCAUCAAAAAAAACAAGGACGAACCGACGGAGAAAGGGGCGGAGCACGUCGUUCAUGGGCGCCUAGAAUGUCGCUGGUGCGUUGCAUAACCCGAACGGCAUCACCAGGUACUCAUAAAAGCCGUCGUGGGUGCGGAAUGCCGUCAUGUGUACAUCAGCCGGUCGCAUCCGAACUUGGUGGUAGCCGGAACGGAGGUGCAGCUUGGUGAAGAACUGCGCACCAUGCAGCUCAUCAAGGAGUUCGUCGACGACGGGGAUGGGGAAGGCAUCCUUGACGGUGAGGGCGUUCAGGGCGCGGUAGUCCACGCAAAACCGCCAAGCCCCAUCCUGCUUCUUGACCAGUAGUAUCGGCGACAAGAACGCCGAGUCACUGCGCCGUACGAUGCCUUGGUCCAGCAUGGCGGCGCAUUGCCGCUCCAGCUCGUCCUUGUGUGCCGCCGGGUAGCGGUAGGGCCGAACUGCCACAGGUGUAGAGCCGGGCUUGAGGACAAUGGCGUGAUCCCGUGCUCGCUGCGGUGGUAGCCCGCUGCUUCGGCGAACACCCCCGCGAAAGAGUGCAGCAGCUCCUCGAGGAGGGCGUUCGGUGUCGUGGUUGCUGCGAGAAGAGGCGGCCGUCGGUCGGCGACGUCCGACCAGGAGACCCGCUGGCCCUGGUGCUGAAAGGAGACAGUGCGGUCGAUGAAGUCCCACACCACCCGGCCACGGGUGACCAUCCAGUGAGUCCCCAAGACUAGGUCAUAACCUGCGAGCAGCAUGGCGAAGAGGUCGAUGAAAAACGUCUCGCCCUCGAUGAUGACCGGGGCAUGACGGAUGACGCCCGGGCAGGUGACGCGCUCGCCGUUAGCCACGGUGGCCGUGAGCCGCGGGUGCGGCUGGACUGGCAAACCAGUGCGGCGGGCGGCGUCCUCGGCAAUGAAAUUAUGUGUGGAGCCCGUGUCCAGAAGCGCGACGAGGGUGGUGGCGCCUAGGGAAACCCGCACCUGCAUGGAAUCACAGAUGGGCAUACCGGCCACGGCUUUGAGUGAGAAGGCAGGGGCUUCCUCUUGCUGAACGUCCCCUGCUGGUUCCUCGUCGGCGGCCGCGAUCUCGACGCCGUUGAGGUAGAAGAUGCGGCGGCAGACAUGGUUGUGGCCGCGGGCGUAUGGUUCGUUGCAGUUGAAGCAGAGGCCGAGACGGUGCCAUUCCGUCUGCUCCUCUGGGGACAGCCGCUUCAGCGGCGGCCCAUCUUGUCGUGGCUGUGCCGCGGCUGCUGGUGGUGCCGAAAGAGCAAGCAGAGGCUGCUUCGGCGCCGGUGCUGGUAGCAGGGCACAAGGGGCUCCGCGGGCGGCGGGUGGGGGUAGCCGUGCCAAAUCCAUCUGCUCGACCUGACGGGCGAGGCUCAUGGCCCCGACGAGCAUCUCCGGGUUGUGGAUGCGGACGACGUGGCUCAAGGGAGGAAGAAGGCCGCCGGUGUAGAGUUGGACACGCUGGCCCUUGUCGAGCCGACCUGUGCGUGGCAGCAGCGCCUAGAACCUGUUGGAGUAUUCCUCCACGGUCCCAGUGCGGCGACAUUCCGCCAGCUCGAACAGGGGCGCCGAACGGAGAGGUGGCCCGAAGCGAGAGUGGAGGAGAUCCUUGAAGCGUCCCCAUGGCGGUGUACCCUCGUCUUCCUACAGCUGGAUGUACCACAGCUGCGCGACGUCCUCCAGAUUGUAGGAGGCCAUCCAAACGCGCUCCUCGGGCAUGGUGCGCUGUUGGCGAAAAUAGGAUUCGCACUUGUUGAUGAAGAGCAUCGGGUCGGUCUUGCCAUCGAAGCGGGGGAAGUCGAGUUUCUGGAACCUUGGGGGCCGGUCCAAAUCACGAGGGUGUUCCUCAUGGCCGCCGCCGCCGCCGUUGUCCGACGAGGACGACUUGUCCUUCAUAGUAGCCAUGUCGGCUUUCACGGUUGACAGCUCAGAUUGGAACGACUUCAUCAUCUCCAUGAGAUCCUUGAUGGUUGGUUCAGUCAUGGUGGUGGAGUGGCCGGUGGAAGCAGUGAAGGUGGACGGGGAUGGAGAGGGGCUGGAGCGGGUGGGAGAGGAUCUACGCGACACCGAUACCAGGUUGUCAAGCGCCUCAGCGCCCAACGACGCCGGACCGCGGCUACGUAACUCGUAGUCGCGCUCCACGCCUUCACCGUGAGAGAUCUCUCUCCGGUGGCUCGAGAGGUUUAGGGGAAGGGAAGCAACUUUAGGAUAAUUGAUCUUGCUUGAUUUUCUCCAAGUCUGUUACACGGCAUAUAUAUAGCCAAAGCCCCAACCAAUCUCUCCUAUAAUUAACGCAUGCAAAAGGAAACUAGAUCUUAUAUUUCUAAACUAAGCUACUGGCGGUGGCCCUGCCAUAGCCGCGCGCCCUGCAGCCCUCCUGGCAUCACGACGGCGCCUAUAGGUGCGCCCGUACAUGACACACAUGCAUGAAGCAUUAAAUAUAGAUAAAAAAUAACUAAUUGCACAGUUCCUUGUAAAUCGUAAGACGAAUUUUUAAGCUUAGUUAAUCAAUGAUUGAAUAAUGUUUGUCAAAUACAAACGAAAGUGCUAGUGUCAAAUUUCAAAAAGAUUUUGGAUCUAAACACUAUUGCAGAUAACCUAAAUAUUUCAGAAAGCCUUUAUUAUCCGCUGUUUUCUCUUGGUGGUCUGUUCUAUCUGUUUUCAGGGGUAAUACUAUUGCAGUGGUAUUGGCAUAUGUUUUUUUUAAAAAACAGGAGGGGCAUCCUCAUUGUUCUUAUUGCUUAACCUCUGGAAUUCUACUAGGGUGUAGUCUUGCAUCACUAUAUGGUUAUAUGGUAAAUUGAUGCAUACACUAGUGGACUUGGUGGCAUAGUCCUUGCUGAAGUACAUGGUUAGGAGUAGGACACAUGUGCUGAGAUGACCCUUGGUAGACGAUGGCUAUGAAAACCCAGCCAGGCGCUGCCUAGGUUCGGCAGCUGCAUCUGCAUGUUGAUUCACUUGUGCUCAGCUAAUGUGUGUUAUUUAAUUGGUCAAGCCGCCAAUGUAUUCUUUUUAAAAAAUAUAUUUACUUAUUCUUGAUGCCUCCUGUUUGAAAAGGUUUCUUCGAUUCUAGAUGUAACUCUGUUUGCUUCGUUUAGCCGUGUUCAAAUUUGGCUCUCUUUUUUUCAUUGUAUUGAGAAGACGUAUUGAAUUUGAAAAGCUGCCUAACAUUUGCAUUAUAUAUCAAAUUAAGGCAUGUCUUGAUCUAAAGCCGAAUUGUCAGGAUGGGUAAUAAUUUGCAGAAUUUGGCAUACCAACUUGAAUUUACCAGAAAAAUGUUCCCAAAAUCCGCCAAUAUAUAUAGUUAGUUCUUACGUUACCAGAACAGAACAGAAAAAUGGUACACGUCGAUUUAUAAUGCUUACAGUACCGGAACAGUGGUACCUCCACAGCCAGCAUGAAGUAUCGAUACAAUGGUUACUAGGUGCAUGGAAACAACAGUGAUGAACUAUGCCGAUUCAAUUAACAAAAAUGUUCAUCUACAAACUUCAUUCUUUCGUUCCAAAAUCUGAGAUAGUACAAAAUUUAGCAAAUACAUGCUCAAGUCUCACAAGACCCCUCUCCAAGGAAGCUACCAAACUAGAGCAUAGAAGUGAAAGUUGUUAUUCAUCAACUGUGAACUUUCAAGUUAGAUCAGAGAUCUCCAAACACAGAGAAGACUGAAGACCAUGCUUGCACAAAGGACCCAAAAAUCCAGUUUCUUAUAGUGGCAGCUGCAUCUUCUCAAAAACAAUUAUAGCAAUAAUUGGCCCUGCAACAUCUCCCAAGGCACAACCUGCAAGGUAUACAAAGAUACAGUUAAGUGAUGUUACUUUGAAGUGAUGCUAAUGUUCUGACCUUAUUCUGCUAGUUCAAAGUGAAACUUGAAAAAUAUAUAUGUAUUUGGAUUAAGUGAGAAAAUGAAUGCUUGCAAAAGUAUUGUAGCAUCUUAGUAUAUGCACAGACAGCAGGGAAAUUAUGACUCACCAAACCAUUGUCCAUGCACUGGAUGCACGAGGGCACCAAUGCCUGCUCCAACUGAGGCCAAAACCAAAGAGAAACAACUUUUGAUGGUAAUCCCAUAAAUCUUCCUCCCAAACAAUCUGAAUUUAUUCAUAUCAAAAUACUGGUCAUCAUUGUCGCUUGGUAGUGCUUCAUAGUCAUCGCUAGGCUUGCGGAUGAAACAUCUGUAUACUUCAAUUAUGGAUUGCACUACCCAAGCAGCAGAUACUCCCAGUGCAUGUGCUGUCCAAAGAAGAAACUUGAGAGAACUCUCUAUUAAAAGAAAUCAGAAACACCAAUACAAGCAAAUCUGACCUCGGAAAGUAGUUCUGGCAACACAAUAUGUGUACUGUGGAGUUGACAUUCCCCUUCCGGCUUUCCUUUUUGAUGAUUUUGAAGCAUCUAUAGAAAAAGAGAAUUAGCUAUAAUUUGCAUAAAAAUCAUGAUAAUUAUAAGCAAUAAAUUGAAACAAAUGAAUUGGGGGAUGGGAGCAAGACAAAUAAAUAGAUUCAUAAGCAUCAUCAUAUACAGAGAGUAUAUCUGUAACCUUGUCAACAUGUCAUAUGACCACAGAAAGAAAAUGUAGCUAGCAUAUCUAUACAUGUGGAGAUACAUGUAUAAGCUGCAAAAACACAAGGUCAGGUAAAGAUUGAUAAAAAUCUAAGCGCUUGAUUUUUGGCAGUUUGGGUUGGUUAUCACACAAGUUCAACCAAAAGCAAAGGCAGAACAAGCUUGUUCAUAAAAGUACUGCUCCUAAUGGUUGCAUUUUCCUUUUCCAGUGGGUCAUACAUGUUGAUCUCAUUUUAAUCUCGAUUACAAUGUUCCUUGUUGUACGUGGCUAACUCCAUUCAAAGUCAAAAUAUAUGGCCAUUAAUGAGGAAUCAAAAUGUGAUAACUCCAUUCAAUGUUUUUCCACUUGCUACACCUAUUUUAAUGAAAAUGUGGUUAAACUGUUCAUAAAAUUUAUAGUGUCAUGUGUAGUCAUUAGAAUUAUAUUUUCUGAAACUUAGUGUGUCCUUGGUCUGUGUACAAGGAUGAAGGUGAAAUAGAGAUUAGUGCUCUGGCAUCUAAUGUCCAAAUAUCACACCAUUCACAACUUGCAAGAACUGAUUGGGCUGAAAAGUUUAAAAGGCCAAGAGUUAAGUUCUAAGUUACUCAUUUAGUUCCUGUAAAAACAGAAUUUAUUUGAGACACAGGGCAUGUCUCUAGAAAUCUACAUAGCACAUCAAUAUCAGAACAGAGAUAGGAACCAUGCCACAUGGCACUGGAAGGACAGAUGAUUAAGAAAUUUAACAGAAGUACAAAGCAAUGUGGUCCACAUUCUUUGUGAAGCCUGUUGACAAAAAUACAUGGUUCGACAUAUUUAUAGUUACUGAUUUCUGAAACAACACAUCAAAUUCCCUACAUGAUGGUAUUAAUACAAUGCCUGUUGCCAUCAAAUAUAGGAUCUGUAAAACCACAAUAACCCAAUGCAUAGUGGUAGGACUUAGAAAUAUCAAGAGACCUCAUUAGAUGUCACUAGCACACAACCCUCUCCAGUAAGUCUGAAGUGCUGGGAAAAUUAAAGAGGCCUUAUUACCUUUGAGAAGUUUCCAUGCUGUUCUUUGUGAAACAUGACGAACUACAAUCCUUUCCAAUACUCGUCUGGUCGUUACAAUAGAAGUCUGAAAUGUAAGACAAGAAUAUGACAUGUAAAUAACUUAUACUUCUAAUCCAACAGAAAAUUUGCACAGGCCUUUUGGCAAACUUAAGCUUGUACACACUUAGGUCUCAGGUUAUAUGUACCAUAAACCUCCUGCUCAAUGGGUUACAUUAUUUGUGUUUUCUAGUACAAAGUAAACCUAGCCAUUCAUGACAAUCCCAGGAUGCCCAGCUGCUUGGUCUUGAUUCAGAUUCCAAGCUUCAAACCACAUGGAUACUAGGAACAAAGUUAUAGUUCACAUAGAUGAAGAAUUAUUAUUUUGAUGGUAGUAAGGAUGGAAAACUAACAUCACAGAAAUAAUUCUUAAAAAAGCGCAGCAAGCAUCAAAUCUGCAUGGAUCAAAAUGCAAGUUUUGUGAAAGAAAAAAGAGAUGAAGAAGCAAGAAGCUCCUUUCAGGUGUUACUGUCAAGUUACACAUUAGAAACAUUCAAUAUCAAGGUAAUGAAGUGUUACAAAUUAGAACAUACUGUAACUAAUCAAUCAAUCUGGUCAUCAAGCGUUUAUCAUCACACAGUUUGACUAAAGAGCAAUUGUAGAAAUUCAUUAACGUUUUAAUUAUAAUGCUUGCUAUUGGAGAGGCAUAGUAGCCAGUUUAUGAAAGCCUGUUAUACACAGAGAAUUGAUCACAUUAUCCAUGAAGUACAUCGUAAUAAAAAAAGAAGUUACCUCACGCAUGAUUUGCUUCACUGAAUUGUAGAAGGGAGUAACCAGAUCCACAGGUUUCUCUUGAGCAUCAUGAAGCAGAUCGUCAUCCUCAUCCUCAGAAUCAGUGUGAGGUUUAGGUUGUAUGAGUGGCAAAUAAUAUAACAGAAAAGACCUUAGGGUUGUGAUAGUAAAAUUUUUCAACCCAAAGGCAGAAAAGAGUGGCUUCAGCUCUGAAGGGUAUUCCUUUGUUGUGUUUUGGAAGUAGUCUUUUCUUGCAUAUUGCAUGGAGUCAAGAAUCUUGGUAUUAAGCUCAUUAACAAGUUCAUCAGAACCAUCAUUCCAUACAGCAGUUGUGCCAGCAUCACAAUGAGCAACAGUAAACCCAUGAAAACUGAAUAAAAGAUGCAAUUAACUAGUGUCAGGACAAUAAAAAGAAAUGCAAGUAAGCAAAAGAAAAUUGGAUGCACUACCAAGGCCAACAAACAUCACAUAAAGAUAUGCUUCAACGUGCAUUUACAUAUGGUAGAAAUAAAAGCUUGUUAUCGUUUUCUUUACUGGCUAAGUGCAUCACUUACGUUUGGUGAACUGUCCAUUAGAUACAAAGUCUUAUGGAAAUUUACGUUCUGCCAGAUGUACCAUGAUGUAAAUUUAGGGCAAGGGCAAUUGUGACCAUAGUCAGAUGUGUGCUGUGAAACUAAACAAUGAAUACUGUAUACAUCGGCUAAUCCACAUACAUCAAGGGCAUAUAAUGACAUAUAAGCCGAGUAAAACACUUGUGUCUCAUGGACAAGAAAAGAUUAUCCUUACAAGAAUCUGCCACAUAAAUUAACUAAUAAUUUCUAAGGGGUAAAGGGUAAGCUUCACAAGGAUCAGGAGACCAGUCUGCAUUAGUGCAAGUUUACUACUUGUGCUCAGUUUACUUAUGUUGUAUAAGAACCAACUACAUAGUCAGCAAAACACUCUGAUACAACUACAGAAUUACUAACAAGAAAUCAUGACUUGUCCCAGGCAUAAACAAUUAGACAUUUAAUAAUUCUCUAAAAGCUACAUCACAAUCACGGCGAAGUUACUCCCUGGUUGUAUAUACCAUACAUCAGUUGGAUAGGAAUAAUUCCCAAUGAGCUUCUAGAUAUCAAACAGCCAAUACAGAAUCUGUUUACUAAGGGGAGGUGUUGCAUAUAAUCAAAAUUUAACCUCACAGAACUAUAAUGUAUCUUUCUGCCGAUUAUUAUCUAAAAAAAAAGUCAUAUCUUUCUGCUUCCUGCUUCCCUGCCGAGAUCAUCUGGAGUGACAAAUUAACAUGCGGCGACUGAACCACGCACCACCGGAACCCAGAGCGCCGGCUAAACCACGAACCAAACCCUAGUCAAAACCUGCCAGGCAAUGGAUCGAACACCUCUACCGCGACACGGGCAGCCGUGCUCUGGGCAAGCAAGCACGUGACGAGGAAGCCGCCAGCUCACAUGGAAAGAAGCCUCCUAGCAAGACGUGACGGAGGAGGGGCGAUAGGGGAACGAACCCGAAGAGGUGGCGCGCGGAGAGGGGCACCCCGGAGGACGAGAACGCGGCCGCGGCAGUCGCGGCGAAGGCGGCGGCGGAGAGGCCGUGGUGGGAUUGCGCGGCGGCGGACGCCCCGGCGCGGGGCAGGCGGGAGGUGAGGUCGAGCAAGAGAGCGACGCCGACCGUCAUGGCGCGGGGAUCUCGAGCGGCACGGGAGCUGCUGGCGGGGAUGGCGAUGGCCGAGCCGAGCCGACCGCGCGGUGUCGGGUUGGCGUGGGGAGAAAGAAGCAGAAGAGACGGCAGGGGGGGAAGAGGCGAGGGAUAUAUGGGCCUUGUCCGAGUUCGGGCCAGAUUACGCCGACCACGACGUCCAAGCUAUGGACACCUUUUUUUUUGAGAGAGAGAGAGAACAGCUAUGGACAGUUGACCUAUUCGCUUCGUCUUAUUACACAAUUAUAACGGUCGUACAAAUUAUUUGUAUAGAUGCUACAUUUGAUGUUGUGGCUGUUUGCUGAAGCAAUCAUAAAUAAAUGGACUCUAAGGACAGCAAUGUUAUAUAUCUAUUUUUUAUUUUUCUAUGAAAUAAAAAAAUAUACUUUAUUUUAUGAUGAUCAUUACUAUAAUAUAUAAAAGAUAUAGAAAUUUUGAAUAAACCUCGAAGAAAAGUUGUUAGUUUGUUAUACACCCAAUGUACCACAUGCAAAUAAACAGAUAGGUAAAUAAAAUAAAUAUAUCAGAAAGGAAAAAUCUUAGAGCUUUAGCUUAUAUAUACUUCCAAUGGUUUCCUUUAGGCUUUUAAUUUAACUCGAUGCUUUAUUAUUCUUUUGUAACUUCUAAUCAUGAAUUUAUAAAAAAGUGAAAUUUUAUAAACCACUUAAACACCAUGUAAAUUAGAAGAAUACCAUGCGAGACUUCUUAAGAAUAAUUGCAUGUAUGAGAUAUGGGCAACCUAACAAAAUAAUCAAAUAAACUAUUUAUAGAAUAUUAGAAAAUCCAAUUAUUGUAGGAGGAUGUGAUAGCCAAAUAAACAAAUACUCCCUCCAUGCACAAAAGGAUGCAACUAUAAGUUUGAUCAAGUUUAUAAUGAGGUAGUAUUAACAUUUGUGUCCCCAAUAAAGUUCACUAUUAAAAUAUACUCCAUAUAAUCAAAUGGUAUUUUUUUAUUUUAUGAAUGUUAGUAUUUUUCAUAUAAUUUUAAUUAAAGUUCUAAUUAUUUGACUCCUCGAAAAAUAAGAGUUGCAUCUUUUUUAGACAAAGGGGUAGUAUGGCGUGAUAUGAUGAUGUAGUAUUUUAUUAUUGAGUGAUGAUAUGGUUCUUAGUGAGUGUGCACGCGUAUAGCUUACAUGCACAAAUUAAAAAUUAGUAGGAUUUACUUUUAUAAGAGAUAUAGAUACAUAUAGAUGUCACACCAUGGUAUCUUGCUUUUGUUUAAUCAGACAUUUUAUCUCAUUUGAUUUGGUUGUUUAGCCCGUUUAAAUGUUCUUUUAAUCAAAUAAUGGCUAAUGGUUGGUAAGUGAUACUUUACCAUUUAAUGUUUAGGAAAACACCGGGGACAUCAAACAAACGUGGUUUUGGCCAUUCCACACAUUGAAUGCCAGAAUUUGUUGGGUACCAUAUGAAAAUAUGGUUACGUUUCAUAUAACACUACAACGAUUAUAAUAUUUUUUUUAGAUUUGAGGAGAGAGAAUGUGGUGAAUGUCUCUUUAUACCUUGUCUUCCUAUUCUUAUGUUCUUACUUUGGAACUGCGCGCACACUCUCCAUGAUCAACCGCUCGAUCGGCAUGUUUAGCCUAUUUCCAUGUCUCUUUCUCUCCUUCUAGCAAUUGGCAUCGUUGCUCCUUGAAGCCAACACUGUUAGCGGCCCUUAACUAAUCCGAUCACAAAAUAGUAUAAAACGACAACUUUCAUGUCUUACACCCAUAACUAAGGGCUUAGGGGUGUUUGAGACUGCUCCACAAAUUCCACCAUGGAGCAGCUCUACAAAAAACUGGAGUUUGUGAAGUACCAUUUUAAGUGCUCUCACAACUCCACACUUUUUUCUCGAUAUGAGUACGUGGAGCUGAAACCGUUUGGCUAAAAACCAUGGAGCAAAGCUAAAAAACAUGGAGCAGAGUAAUCCCAAACACCCCAUUAAUCUAACAUGCUCCACAAGUUUUGUAUACAACAUAUUUUGCAGGGAAUAUGGAUAAUUCAAUGCACAAAUAUUAUAAAUAAUAGGAGCAACAAUAAUCCAUAAGUCCAAGGAUUGGUGAUACAUAAACAAGAGCUCAUAUGGAAAUGAAAAAAAAAUGUGAUUUUGUACAUAGUGAAAUACUGGAUCAAAUCACAUAUUUUCCUUUACCAUAUCGAAGAGCUCAUCGAGGUGAAUGAAAUUGACUUUUGGUUCGUCCAAUUUAAAGUUCAGAUGCAAAAGUUACAUCUUUCUAGAAGAUUACAGCAUGGGCUUAUUACACAGGAGAAGGAUCGGCUAAUCCAAUCAUAGGUCAGCGAACCCAAACUUAGGACAAGGACUAUCAAAAUUUUCCGGCUUCCUUAGGCCUUGUUUAGUUGAAGUACCAAAAUUUUUUGGAGUGUCGCAUCGAAUGUUUCGUAGGAUGUCGGAAGGAGUAUUUGGAUACUAAUAAAAUAACUAAUUACAUAACUCAGUUGGAAACUGUGAGACGAAUUUAUUAAACCUAAUUAAUCCAUAAUUAGUACAUAUAGGUUACUGUAACACUUAAGGUUAAUCAUAGACUAACUAGGUUUAAAAUAUUCGUCUCGUGAUUUUUAACCAAACUGUGUAAUUAGUUUAUUUUUUUAUUUAUAUUAACUACUCCAUGCAUGUGUCUAAAGAUUCGAUAUGAUGGGUGAAAACUUUUUUAGGUGAGAACUAAACAAGGCUAAUCAUAGGUUUCAAGCAAAGACUAGGCAUGGCAAAUGCGUUAGGCCGGCUUGUUCGGUUAAUCCCCUCUCCAAACGAAUUGGAGGGGAUCAAUGAUGAUUUUAACUUAGGAGGAUUUAAUCCCACUCAACCUCUUUUUUUCUCCUCCAAUCCCCAGCAAAAAUGAACAAACCCUAGCCAUGAGUUUCUCACCUACUUAUACAAACGAUCAUUUCAAGACAGUGAACACCAUCUCAAAUUUAAAACUGCCUGCACAAAUGAUACCAACUUGACUAUACUAGUAUAGUGCCCGUGCGUUGCUACGGUUUUAUUUAAGGGAUAUACUUAAAACAACAAACGUGAACCAUCCAUCUCUUUAUCUCUACCAAGAAAAGAUACUUUUGUAAUUAAUUAUUAUUAAAAAAUUGCAGUAAAAAAAAUGCUCCUUGUGACAAAAAUAACCGUUUAGGUAAUCAAGUUAUUGAGCUCAUCAUUAAAUUCAAGAUAUAUCAAAUAAUAUGAUCUUAUCAUUAAAUAGACAAUGACAAGACUUGGUACAACAAAAUAAACUGUGUAGCACGGUAAUUUUUUCAGUUGUCCCAGGUUUAGCUCCUUAAAGAGAUAGGUUUAAACAAGAUACAAUAGUAUAGUGUUUUAAAAAAUAUAUACAACAGUAUAGUUUAAAGAGAUUAAAAAUACAAAAACUUGCUUAUAUAUAAUAUUUCUGUUUAGGACAAAACUUAAUACCUAAAGAUGUUUGCUAGUAUAGAGGUAGCUCUGUAUACUUUACACCCAUUAUCAACUCAAGCCAAUUGUUUGCACACUCUAAAAUAGAACCAUCCAAGUUUUGGACGUUACAUAUGUCAUCCUAGAGCUUUGUUCCUUAUAGUUAAUAAAUACAACACUGAUUCAUGUCACCAGUUUUUGCUAAUUAGAAAAAAGAACAUCAUGGAUGUGCAGGUGCAGCAGUGCCUGGAACCAAGUGGCAGGAUAAAUUCUGUGACAGCCAUUUUAUCCUGCCGCACAUUGAAGCACCUGUAGUUCAGCAUAAGAUCACUGCGAAAAUGUUGCUUGGAGUGGCCUAACCUAUCAUUAAGAGGAUUCUAUCCUGGCAUCCAUGCAGCAUAUCCACAGCAAGCAUCUACAUACACUGCUAUUUUUAUAAGUUUCUCUAGAUUAAAAUUCUAUUCACUGGCUAAUAGGUCAGUACUAAAAUGAGAAGGCCAAAAUUCAGCUCACAUUGAAAUAAGAGAAAAACAUAAACUCACAAAUGCAAAAAAAGAAAUCUGCUCAAGAUACUACUUGGUGAUUUACAACAUCCUCACAUGCUCUUUUAACUGACAAAAUGCUCUCACUAUGCAGCGAGUUAUUGUGUACUCGAGCUAACUCUUGAUAAAAAAAACACAGUAAGCUAAAUAAGUGCUUUAUGGGAUGUCACAGUUGCAAGACACAUGAACUGCAACACAUAGAUGAAAUUUUUUUAACCUGGAGAGCAUAGAAUGAUCUACCUGGCUACAGAAUGAUUCAGAUUUCAGAAACUUUGAUGUUCCAUCUAUACCUUAAGAAUCCAUCUUUGAACAUUGACAUAUAGCUGAAAUCAAGUAGCCAUUAGAACUGGAAAUUGUUAAUACAAGUGAGCAGUCCAUCUGCACAUGUUGUAGAGACAAAAAAUGAGGGAUUUGAGAUUUGAGAACUUAACUGUGAGACCGCUUAAAAUCAAUGUUGCUGCUGGUCUGACAAUGAAGAAAAGAAUUGAAGCUUUGAUUUUGCAGCUAAGGAGGUACAUAAGAGAGCUAAAUAACAGGAAGGCGAAAAUCAAAAUUUGGUUCAUACUUCACUACUAAAACAGUAAAACAUCUUUGUGGACUACUGGAAAACAGAUGGUUGUUGUUUUUGUUUCCAUUUCAAGAUCAGGAGGUACCAGCAAGAACCUCCCCAUGUGAACCCCACCAAACUUGAUUUGGUAUCUUCUUUUAGAAGACACCCUAAUCAGCGUUUUGUGCAGCAUGGGCUGUGAGCAGCCAUCACCGGUGGCGAGUGCUGUGAGCAGCCAUCGUAUAUUUUCAAAAACAAAUAGUAGUUAAUUUCUUUCAUCAUAGAACUACCAGCACUACCAAUCAGCCAUCUCAUAUUUUCAAAGAGAUACACAUUCUUUCUAAUCUCAUAUAAAAAUUAGCUAAAUCUUGAAAAUAGACUGCUUGCACCUUAAAUUCAAACAAACUGAUGAGAGCAUUGUGUUGUGAUGAGAGCAUUGCGAUUUUGACUAAAGCAGUGCAAAUUAUAAAAUAGGAUUCUGGGCUCCCAAUAUAUUUUGCAUUCCGAACUCACAAUAUAUUUUGCAGAAACUUGAGAGAGAACUCAUACCUGAAAAAACUAUUGUAGAUCGAGAUGAAUCUCCGGCCAUUCAGAAAAAGUUUCCUCAAGACUUAGAAGUGCCCACCCACAACAAGCACAACCCACAACUUAUAAAUAAUUCAAGCACUCCAAGUCUCAGGCUCUAUAGAUAAUAUAUACAGAUAUAUAAUGACUUUAGCCUACAAAUACUUAUCAUCAAAGUCGUGCCAAGCCAAGGUGCUCAGUUGUAAAGUGCAGUGAUGAUAGACAUGAAAAAUGGUGCUCUAUCUUUUUACGCUAAAAGGAGCUACAAAAUUGUUCUACUAUCAUCUCACUCCAAGACAUGUCAAUGGAUUUGUAAGAGCAGUGAAGCUAGUAUUAAUAGAUUUGUCAGAGCAGUCAAGCAGUGCAUUACCUCUACCAAUAGUAGUUACCUUUGCUGGAGCAACAACAACUUUUUUCCUUUCUUAGGAUAUCAAGUGAACUGUACACGACAUAUCUGAACGUGCAGUUGGAGGCUCAGCGCAAAUGCCCAAUUGAGACCUGCAACAAAGACCAAUUGUCACAUAACUUGCACAACUUUGAUUUGAGUAAGUUUGAUGCUUCCAAGGAAAGGAAAACGUUUACCAAAAGCAAGAAAUAAAACAGAAAUAGACCUAGGGGAGCUGGAUUGCCUACACUCAUCUAGAAAUAAACUCAAGAAAGUUUGGAAUUAGUACCAAGGUAUCCAUCACAGUCUCAACAAAUGUUUACAGUUAUACACAGGGAAACAAAUUUAAGAGAAAUAAGUAACAAGAAAUAAGGUAUUUAAGCACAAAAACAGAGAACAUCACAUAGGAGAGGUAGAAGGCAAACUAAAAUACAACCAUGUCUCUUUUGUUUCUAUGUAGAGGCCUGGACUUAACUUUUUGGACUGUUAAUGGUUGACAAACUUAUCUAGCAGCAGAAAGUAGAGCUUGCUUACCCGCAUAUACUAUUGACUGCUAAUUAAUUAAUUGUUGGUACUUCAGCAUGCCAGUUAGGAAACAAAAUUAUUGCAAAGUAUUUUUUACAUAUUUGCAAGAACAAUCAAACCAGUACAAUGGUUGAACUUGAAGACAAAUAUUCAAGGCCUUGGUUACUGAUAGCAUUCGCAGACUCCCCAUUGCAGGAGAAUGAAAUGAUUUUUCAGCAUAAAGAGAACAAUAAACAUAGUUCUAUGUAAAAUUUCAAAAACGAAACACUCUAGCAUGAACUGGGAAGCCAAGUUAAGUGUUUCAGUUGUACCAGAAAAAGGAGAAAAUGCUUGUACUUCCUUUGUACCACACAAUUCAGUACCCAAAUUUUAUGAGAAAUAAACACAAUUCAGUACAUGUAUAGUCAAAAGACAGAGAAACUGAUCAUGAAUGAUAGCAAUGACCAUACCUCAUCCGAUGAUGUUUGAUAUGUCGCCAAAUGCAGCGCAAGUUGGUCUUUUAUUCCCCAUGACAGACACAUGGUAAAAUUCAUGUUAGGGACUCAUGCUUCUUCCAGAUCAACGGGUUCUAUAGCAACCUCUUUAUUAAGUUCCUUGUCAAACCUAAAAAAAUAACACAUGAUAUAAGUACAGCUAAUGGCAAAAAAAUUAAGUGAAGCGAUCCAGCAAAUAAAGAAAUCAGGCAUCUUCAUUUUUUUGCAAACUUGAUGUAAGCAAUAAAGAAAUCUAUAGUAUCAUCAUCAGGCUAUAACUAAAGAGUAUAUCAAGAAGCUGCGUGAAAGAAAAAUUAUUCUGUUAUCUAGGAGUGCUGUUAAAACCAAAAUUCCCCUUUGUAAAUGCUACUCAUCUAUCCACUGAUUCCAUCAACACAUGCAAGAAUCUAAUCUAAAAAUAGUAUAAAGUUCAGAGGAAUCAGAUUACUGCUUUCGAUUUCUACCGUUGUAACACCCAAAAUUUUGAUUUCAAUUAAUAGGAAUUAAUGUGAAGUAAUUAAGUAUUUUUUUAUGACCAUUUAACGUAGUAAAUAAAUAAAUUUUGUUGAAAAUAAAAAAAAAAUUAUCAUAAGUUUAGAAACAUGGCUGUGCAUUCAUGCUGGAUGCAUAAUAAUUUUUGUGCUGAUUUUAUUUUAUUUUAUUUACUUUAUGCUCAAAAGCUCUUUUAGAAAAUGCUUUGAAAAGAAAUAGAAUAAAGAAAAGAAAAAAAAAACUCACCUGCGCUCUCGGCCUGUUGGCCCAGAACCACCCAAGACGCCACCUUAGCCAGCUGCGCACCGACCCUCCCCUCCCUCUCCUUCUUUGACCGACAAUCGGGCCCCACAUGUCAGCGGCCUUCCUUCUACCUCCGGUCGUCUUCGAACGGGACUCAGCCGGAAAACAGAUUCGAUCCCGGGAUUCGCGAUUCCUUGCCAAACGUGAAAACCGACCCGUAUUUAACCCCCAGCAUCGCCCCGCGCGUUGUUUUCCACCCUCGCCGCGGAAACCAAGCCCUAGACGCCAGCCCACGCGCGGUUUUGGAUCUUGCCGAAAGCUAACUCCGCCACCGCACGCCGCGCGCCUCUCUCGCUACUCCUCGGCCCCAGCAAAGCACCUCCUCGAGUUCGCGGUGAGCUCUCGUUCCGAUGGUGUUUUUCUUUCUUGAAACGGUGCUCGGAAACGAGAAACCCGCGAACGCCGGCGAGCUUUCUAACGGUGGCCAUGGCGCCACCGUGCGGAGCUCCGGUCGGCCGGCCGGCCUGGAUGGAACACCAGCCGUUAGAUGCAAGAUCAAGGGACAGAAAUAGAAGUUACCCCUUCAGCUGCGAAACUAUAUAAAGAGUCCUUGAACUUUUUCAUAUUUGCUCCGCAGUCCUUGGCGCCCUGAGACGAUUCCGUUACUCAACUCCGAAAGCGUAUUUCGUAACAGCUUGAGUAAAAUACGUUUUCUAGAAAUUACAGAAUUGCCAUUGGAUUUAGUUUGCUCAUAAAAUACUCAUUUUAACUCCGUUUUUGUCCAUUCAAAUUCCGUUGGAUUCGUAUUUACGAUCUCUACAUGUUAGAAAUAUUAGUUUACUGUUUUGAAACUUUUUAAUUCUGCAGUAGCAUUUAAUUAAUUAUUUCUUUAUAGGAAAUCUUAGAAAAUUCAUAUCUUUCACGUUUUAAUUCCGAUUUUCGUGAACUUUACGUUUGUGUGAUCGUAGCGCUGCGUAGAAUAUUUUGAUAAACUUUUAUAUUUGUUUUACCACUGUUUGGUGUAUUGUUCUAAUUAUAGUUUGUUUGCUUCGUGUAUGAUUGUCUACAUUGGAUUGCGUGUUGUUGAUUGAUGAUUGGGAUUAGACGGUGAGCCGUACGUUGGUGACCAAGACCAAGCUUUUGAGGACCAGCAGGCUCAGGAGAGCUUUGAGCAAGGCAAGUAUAACUUGGGAUCAUCUUUGUUACCUAUUCACUUAAGUACAUAUAUAUCAUAUGCAUGCUAUCACCUUGUCGACCUUAGCAAAAUCAUAGAUGAUUGUUACCUGUAUUCCUUGCUACCUACUUGAUAUGCAUUUGUUGUAGAUGUGCUAGUGCUUGAAAUAAUCCAUGAUCUUGUAAGAUGAUUAUUAGCUAUGCAAUGAACAUAAAAGAAUGACAAAUAACUGUAUGAGAUCUUGUCUGUACGUGAUCACCCGGGAUAACAGUGCAACCAUGAGGGCUAUAAUGGCUCUGGCUUUAGCUCAGUAUGAAGACCUUUUCUAGCUUGUUAGAGGUUACCCGAAAGGGCGGAGGGGCUGAACCGACACGGGUAUAGUGCGAGCCCCUGUCCCUAUGUGUAUAGGCUGCGCGUCAUUGUGCCAUUUGGAAGGGGGGUAUCUAUAUCUGCUCGCAAAGGAAACCUUGCGGCCCUAACUUGUUAGACGAACUUUUGAAAGGCUUCAUAGUGAUCCCUGCCGACCUCCCUAGGAAGGGGGUUAAGAGAUUAGCUACCUCGGGCGAAAGGGUAAAUCAUGACUCAUGGGUAAAGAUGUACAACCUCUGCAGAGUGUAAAACUGGUAUACUAGCCGAGCUCACGGUCAGGAGCGGCCUUGGGGACAUCUACAUUAAGAUGAUGAGCUUGUUAUGUUAUUAUGUUCAUUUGAUUAUCGUUUAUGCUAUGAGAUUAAUUAUGCUUACACUUGAUCAUGGGAUUAAUGGAUUAUUUAUGCUUCAUUGACAAUUGCUAUUUCAUUAUGAACAUGCUAUCCACUAUUAAAAGCUAAAUGCAGUCAAACCAGUGUCAGCUAUUUGAGCCCCAUGAACCCCUGGUUAUACUUGUUGAGUACGAUAUGUGCUCACUCUUGCAAUUUCCCAACACCUCAGGGUAUGAUAAUGAAGAUGACUGGAAGGAGGAUUAUCGGUAUGAGUACUAGGUUUGGAGUCAACCAGUCAACAGUGUCCCUGUGUGGAGCUUCCGUCGAGAGCGUUGUUUACAUCUUGCUAUCAUUUAUGUAUAAGACUAUGUGAUUUUCUUAUGUUUCGCUAUGUAAUGAACACUGCAAUGGUACGUUUGAGAUUUGUCUACUUAUUUGUGCGACUAUUCCUGGGGCACAUAUGAGUCUUUUAUACAUCCUAUUUUGUUCUUGAAAUAUGGGUGUGACAAAUUGGUAUCAAAGCUUUGUUGACUGUCGGACGCAAGCCUAGUUAGAAAUUGGCCGUCAUAAGGUUUUGAAAUUGCUAUAAAAUCCUUGUUCUAUAAACCUUGAUAUUUUCUUCUACACUAUAUCCUAUUCAUCUUCACCUUGUUGCUUAUCUUAAAGACUUGUUCUCAUCCCCACUCCUUGCUUUGAAUAUGCUUUUAGAACCUUCUCUUACCACCUGCUUACAUAGUUGAAAGAGAAUUUUAGGAAUCUUUGCCCUUAAUAGGAAGAGAACGAUAGUACCGCAAGUUGAGUUAAUGCUUGAAAUGUGAACCUUUGAUGCUUGGUUUGGUUUGUUAUUAUGCUUAUGCUUGAUUUGGAUCUUUGUAAUGAGUGCAAUGAUCUUGUGGAUUUUCUCUACAAUUUCAUUUAGUUUAUAGGCCUAAGAUAUAAGGAUUAAUGAAUUAAAUAGUUGGGUUUGGGUAAGAUUCUGUUUCCGUCCUUUGCUGUUUUAUGGAGCAGUCUGCAAUGAAUCUGGUACAUCUCAAAAUCUGUUCAUGCAAUGUCCAUCAAUUUUUUCUGGGAACAAGUAGACUUCCAUAUCUUUCCAAUGCCACAAGAAUGACCAUAUCAUCGAUUAUGAGCUGAGAGUUAUGACUGUUUCAAGUUGAGGUUUCUGCGCAGUCUGGAAUUCUGGAACAGUUUCGGUUGUACCCAGUUUUUGGUUAACCUCACUUUGGAAUCCGGUAAUAUGAUCUAAAUGAAAGUUGUAGACAAUUUCUUUAUCUUUCCAACGGUGUACAGCAUGUAUCCUUUUGAAUUCUGGAACUCGAGAUAUUACUGAUUUUCUGAUCUGCUGAUGUUGGAUGUUACCCAGAAAAUUUCAGAUUCGGUUAACUCUUGUAAUUGUCAUGUUGGACAUUACUAAGAUGUGUUUAUAUACCUUGGAAUGCAGAUGGCAGCAAGGGGAAGAGGCAGAGGCAGAGGCCGUGGCAAUGGUGACAAUGCCCCAAUUACUGUGGAGGAACUUAUGCAAACUCAGAAUCAGAUGAUGCACGUCUUCAUGCAACACCUACAACAACAACCUCCACCAACACCACCACCUGUUCACGUGAGAGACAAGCGUGGAGAGUUUAUGAAGGGAAGACCUCCAGUAUUUACACACUCAGCGGAUCCCAUGGAGGCAGAUGAUUGGUUACGUGCUGUGGAGAGGCAACUGAACAUAGCACAGUGCAAUGAUUUGGAGAAGGUGUUGUAUGCAUCUGGACAGCUUCAGGGAGCAGCCCAGACAUGGUGGGAGUCAUAUCAAGCUGCUCGUCCCAACAAUGCUCCUCCUGUCACUUGGGUAGAAUUUUGCAGAGACUUCCGAGCACGACACAUCAAUGAAGGAAUGAUGGAGCUCAAGCAGGAAGAAUUCAGAUCUCUUAGGAUGGGUUCUAUGUCUGUGGCUGAGUAUCAUGACAUGUUUGAGCAGUUGGCUCGCUAUGCUCCAAACGAAGUCAGAGAAGAUGCUGACAAACAACGUCUCUUCAUGAAAGGUCUUUACUAUGAACUCAGAUUGCAACUGGCUGGAAAUACCUACCCUACAUUCCAGGCUCUGGUGAACCGUGCUAUUGUGUUGGAUAACAUGCGUAAAGGUCAAGAUAAGAAGAGAAGAAUGUUAGCCCAAGGUUCUGGAGGCAACAACCGCCAACGUUUCAAUUCUCAGCAGAGCAAUCAACAGAGGUUCCAGGGACCAGUUAGUCAAUGGGAUCGCAACCAACAAUCUCAGCGUAAUUCUAAUCAUCAACAGAGUGGACAGCAGACUUCCCGCUCCGGAGAUUCAAAUGCCACCUCUAUGAAGAGAAGUGCUCCCAAUACCCCUACUAGGUGUUUUCGCUGUGGGAAAGAAGGUCAUAUGUCAUAUGAUUGCCCGGAGAGAUUCAACCAGCGGAACAACAAUCAAAAGUCUAAUUCUCAUGGAGCAAAGGUGAACCAUGUGGCUGCAGAGACAGUACAAGAGGGACCGGAGAUUAUGAUGGGUACGUUCAGUAUCAACUCUAUUCCCGCUACAGUUUUAUUUGAUUCUGGAGCUUCGCAUACAUUCAUAUCACAAGCAUUUGUUAGAGCUCAUAGCAUACCACUAGUUGCCCUGAAAACCCAUAUGCUAGUAAACUCACCGGGAGGGACUAUACCAGUUUCAUAUUGUUGCCCCUCAGCAAGUCUUUCUUUAAGGGGGGUAGAUUUCCCUGUUAGUCCCAUGGUUAUGAGAACCUCAGGCAUAGAUGUGAUAUUGGGUUUGGAUUGGAUGAAGAAAUAUGCUGCGGAAAUUAAGUGCAAGGAGAAAGUAGUAGUUGUGACCACACCCAAGGGAGAGAGAAUCAGUGUGGACGUAGCAGUACAAGCUCCACCCACAGCCACAGUGAAUCAUUUAGAUGAUGAUGGUGUUGAUCUUCAGGACUGUGUAGGGAAUAAAUUUUCAGAUAAGUUACGAGGUAUGUUACCUGGUUAGAGACAUUGAAGUUGCUAGUACAAUGGAAUUGGUAUUUAGAGACACAAGCAACUUGAAAAAAAAGAGAAGGUUUGGAGAAGGACAUAUCCACAGUGGUUUGUUUAUACACUGCUCAAUCUCGAGGACGAGAUUCUUUUAAGAGGGGUAGAGUUUGUAACACCCAAAAUUUUGAUUUCAAUUAAUAGGAAUUAAUGUGAAGUAAUUAAGUAUUUUUUUAUGACCAUUUAACGUAGUAAAUAAAUAAAUUUUGUUGAAAAUAAAAAAAAAUUAUCAUAAGUUUAGAAACAUGGCUGUGCAUUCAUGCUGGAUGCAUAAUAAUUUUUGUGCUGAUUUUAUUUUAUUUUAUUUACUUUAUGCUCAAAAGCUCUUUUAGAAAAUGCUUUGAAAAGAAAUAGAAUAAAGAAAAAAAAACUCACCUGCGCUCUCGGCCUGUUGGCCCAGAACCACCCAAGACGCCACCUUAGCCAGCUGCGCACCGACCCUCCCCUCCCUCUCCUUCUUUGACCGACAAUCGGGCCCCACAUGUCAGCGGCCUUCCUUCUACCUCCGGUCGUCUUCGAACGGGACUCAGCCGGAAAACAGAUUCGAUCCCGGGAUUCGCGAUUCCUUGCCAAACGUGAAAACCGACCCGUAUUUAACCCCCAGCAUCGCCCCGCGCGUUGUUUUCCACCCUCGCCGCGGAAACCAAGCCCUAGACGCCAGCCCACGCGCGGUUUUGGAUCUUGCCGAAAGCUAACUCCGCCACCGCACGCCGCGCGCCUCUCUCGCUACUCCUCGGCCCCAGCAAAGCACCUCCUCGAGUUCGCGGUGAGCUCCUCGUUCCGAUGGUGUUUUUCUUUCUUGAAACGGUGCUCGGAAACGAGAAACCCGCGAACGCCGGCGAGCUUUCUAACGGGGCCAUGGCGCCACCGUGCGGAGCUCCGGUCGGCCGGCCAGGCUUGGCCUGGAUGGAACACCAGCCGUUAGAUGCAAGAUCAAGGGACAGAAAUAGAAGUUACCCCUUCAGCUGCGAAACUAUAUAAAGAGUCCUUGAACUUUUUCAUAUUUGCUCCGCAGUCCUUGGCGCCCUGAGACGAUUCCGUUACUCAACUCCGAAAGCGUAUUUCGUAACAGCUUGAGUAAAAUACGUUUUCUAGAAAUUACAGAAUUGCCAUUGGAUUUAGUUUGCUCAUAAAAUACUCAUUUUAACUCCGUUUUUGUCCAUUCAAAUUCCGUUGGAUUCGUAUUUACGAUCUCUACAUGUUAGAAAUAUUAGUUUACUGUUUUGAAACUUUUUAAUUCUGCAGUAGCAUUUAAUUAAUUAUUUCUUUAUAGGAAAUCUUAGAAAAUUCAUAUCUUUCACGUUUUAAUUCCGAUUUUCGUGAACUUUACGUUUGUGUGAUCGUAGCGCUGCGUAGAAUAUUUUGAUAAACUUUUAUAUUUGUUUUACCACUGUUUGGUGUAUUGUUCUAAUUAUAGUUUGUUUGCUUCGUGUAUGAUUGUCUACAUUGGAUUGCGUGUUGUUGAUUGAUGAUUGGGAUUAGACGGUGAGCCGUACGUUGGUGACCAAGACCAAGCUUUUGAGGACCAGCAGGCUCAGGAGAGCUUUGAGCAAGGCAAGUAUAACUUGGGAUCAUCCUUGUUACCUAUUCACUUAAGUACACAUAUAUAUCAUAUGCAUGCUAUCACCUUGUCGACCUUAGCAAAAUCAUAGAUGAUUGUUACCUGUAUUCCUUGCUACCUACUUGAUAUGCAUUUGUUGUAGAUGUGCUAGUGCUUGAAAUAAUCCAUGAUCUUGUAAGAUGAUUAUUAGCUAUGCAAUGAACAUAAAAGAAUGACAAAUAACUGUAUGAGAUCUUGUCUGUACGUGAUCACCCGGGAUAACAGUGCAACCAUGAGGGCUAUAAUGGCUCUGGCUUUAGCUCAGUAUGAAGACCUUUUCUAGCUUGUUAGAGGUUACCCGAAAGGGCGGAGGGGCUGAACCGACACGGGUAUAGUGCGAGCCCCUGUCCCUAUGUGUAUAGGCUGCGCGUCAUUGUGCCAUUUGGAAGGGGGUAUCUAUAUCUGCUCGCAAAGGAAACCUUGCGGCCCGAACUUUUGAAAGGCUUCAUAGUGAUCCCUGCCGACCUCCCUAGGAAGGGGGUUAAGAGAUUAGCUACCUCGGGCGAAAGGGUAAAUCAUGACUCAUGGGUAAAGAUGUACAACCUCUGCAGAGUGUAAAACUGGUAUACUAGCCGAGCUCACGGUCAGGAGCGGCCUUGGGGACAUCUACAUUAAGAUGAUGAGCUUGUUAUGUUAUUAUGUUCAUUUGAUUAUCGUUUAUGCUAUGAGAUUAAUUAUGCUUACACUUGAUCAUGGGAUUAAUGGAUUAUUUAUGCUUCCUUGACAAUUGCUAUUUCAUUAUGAACAUGCUAUCCACUAUUAAAAGCUAAAUGCAGUCAAACCAGUGUCAGCUAUUUGAGCCCCAUGAACCCCUGGUUAUACUUGUUGAGUACGAUAUGUGCUCACCCUUGCAAUUUCCCAACACCUCAGGGUAUGAUAAUGAAGAUGACUGGAAGGAGGAUUAUCGGUAUGAGUACUAGGUUUGGAGUCAACCAGUCAACAGUGUCCCUGUGUGGAGCUUCCGUCGAGAGCGUUGUUUACAUCUUGCUAUCAUUUAUGUAUAAGACUAUGUGAUUUUCUUAUGUUUCGCUAUGUAAUGAACACUGCAAUGGUACGUUUGAGAUUUGUCUACUUAUUUGUGCGACUAUUCCUGGGGCACAUAUGAGUCUUUUAUACAUCCUAUUUUGUUCUUUAAAUAUGGGUGUGACAACCGUGAGAAAAACACAUGCAAGAAUCUGAAAAUAGAUAGCCUAAAAAUAGAUAGAAUCAGCAUGUCAUAAAGUGGAUUCUAUCCUAGCAUCAAGGCAACGCACAUCCACAGCAAGAGCUUACAAAACUGAAAAUCAGAUAUUAAUCAAUUCCAUCUAAAGCACAAAGCAAGCAAGAAUUCAGGGGCUAAUAUAUAGGUUAUUAGUACUAAAAUGAGAAGGCCAAGAUUUAGCUCACACUAAAAUGAGAGAAAAACAUAAACUCAUCAAUGUAAAAAAAUUCUGCUCAAGAUACUACUUCAAACAUUUUUACUCAAGAGUCAGGCGGUCGGCAUGGAGGCAGCCGCGAGCCCCAGCCGCGCGCCCUCCGUCCUGGCCAGCGUGGAGGCGGACGCGCGCCCCUGGCUGCGUGCCCCGCGAGCCCUGGCCGCGCGCCCUCCGUCCUGGCUAGCGUGGAGGCGGACGCACGCCCCUGGCUGCGCCCCGCGAGCCCUGGCCACGCGCCCCGGCAGCGAGACCUCCUAGCAGGGCGUGGAUUUCUGGCGGCGACCAUGCAUAGGUCCGGCCGGCGCGCGCCACAAGCCCCACGGCUGGAUGCGGCCGUCGCCACCCUGCGAAACCCUAGCCCCAUGGCUGGGCGCCGCUGCUGCCGCAGCACGAGCCCCGUUGGGGGCACCCACCAUGCCCGACCACAUCAGGAGGGAGGGAGAGAUGUGCGCGCCGUAGGGGAAGGCCGUGCCACCACAUCGGGAGAGAGGGGAGGGAGGGAGAGACGCAUGCGCGGCUGGGGAGUGGAGUUGUCUCGCGAUCCAGAUUGUGCGGGAGAGAGGGCGUCGGGGAGAGGGAGGGUCGCGCAUGCCGCAUGGGGUUUGUGCGUGAGUGCGAGACCGGCGUCGGGGAGAGGGAGGGUCGCGCAUGCCGCAUGGGGUUUGUGCGUGAGUGCGGGACCGGAUGACAGAUGAGUGAUGAGGUUUGAUCCGAGGAAUCUGGUCCAUUAAAUUUGAGUGAGUAAGAGAAAGAAGAUGUGAGAGUGGAUCUCGUCCCUUCAUUUCAAAGAUCGGCAGGUUUAAGCGUAUCUUUUUGGGUGUACUUAGGAAAGUUAAUGACUGUGGUGGACAUAUUUUGGUGUGGCUUUAGGAAAGUUUACAUGUGGUGGAUUAUAUAGUAGUGGAGAAAAUGAUUUCAUGAUACUUAUUACCAUUUACUAUUAUAAUACAAUAUAGGGUAAAGUCUAUUUUUCACCCUCAAACUUGUACAUUUGUUUAAUUUUCAACCUUGAACUAUGAAACCGGAUAACACGCAUCCUUCAAUUGUUGAAAUCGGAUAACUUUGGUCAUUGCAUGGUUUUAAAGGUGGUUUCUAUUUUAUAAUAAUAAUAAUAAUAAUAAUAAUAAUAAUAAUAAUAAUAAUAAUAAUAAUAAUAAUAAUAAUAAUAAUAAUAAUAAUAAUAAUAAUAAUAAUAAUAAUAAUAAUAAUAAUAAUAAUAAUUGGUCUCUAUAAAUUCAUUAUUAAUUUAUUUAAAUCAUAAAAUAUGAAAAUAGUUCUAUUUUUCUUCUAAAGAUGUCAUAUGUGUCUAUUCGUGCUAUAUUUAGAGUUAUUCAAAUCUUAUUUGUUUUAAAUAAAUACUGUGUGCAAUGAUGAGCAAUAAAGCUAUAGAAACAGAAGUAAACCAAUUUUAAAUACUUAUAUAUAGAUCAUAAACAAGUAGAGAAUAUUUUUAGAAAAAAUGGUACUAGUUUCUUACUUUUCUAAUGUAAAAUAAAUUAUUUAUGAAUUUUUAGAUAGUAAGUCAAAUUAUUAUUAUUUUUUUACAAAAUACAUAUCAUCUUUAAAACCGGCAUGAGAACCAAAUUUAUCCGAUUUUGAUAAUUGGAGAGUAUUUGUUAUCCAGUUUCAUAUUUAAGUUGAAGGUAACAAAGGACUUUACCCCCACAACAUAGAGGGUCCAUUGUUCCUUGUAUAUUUACUGGUACGAUUAAUCCCCACCAAUUGUUUCUUUAGCUGCCUAUAUGUUAUUAACUCAAUAGACCCUUGCAAAUCCACUUUUUCUAUUGUUAGACAAGCUUUAGAAAGUUUAGCGGAUCAGGAUGGGCACAUGACUCCAAGGUAACAUUCUUUUAAGGUUCACAAGUACUACGCACUUGUCUGGUCCCUUGCACUUACAGUAUGCAUCUUUCUUGAGAAAAUAUUAAUAGCAUGUAUAGUACCGGCCCUAUGACUAUGAGAAGUAAGAUAACAGACCUAAGCUUUGGGUUGCUGGCCAGUGGCUACCUUGAAUAGCAAGCUCACCAAGACCAAGAACAAGGUUUACUAGUUACCUUGGAGUAGUGCAGCUCGUCCUAGUCCUCUACACAAUUGGAGCUUAAGUAGGAGAUUUGAGACUGCCACAUGUGCUGGCCUCAGUCUUCUCCAGUGCCCGAUUCAUUGCAACUUAUCACUGCAUGUUGAGGUAGCAGCGAACGUAGAUUUGAGCUCGAUGGAGGAAUUAGAGGCGAGAAUGCACAGAGUAGAGGAUCUUGAGCUAGGGGUGUCUGCCCAGAGGCAGUUGGGGCUCACUGUGAAUCACAUUUUUUUUAAAAAAAAUAUGUGUGGCUCUAUACUGCUUUUUCUCUACGAGUCGACUCUACCUUAUGAUUAUAUGGUUGCCUCACUCUUCAAUGAAUCGACUCACCACUGUCAACAUACCCUACUAUAGUUAGUAGUAUUAUCAGUGCCGUGGUAUGUCAUGACUAAGUAUCACGUCUGCUAUUAUACAACUGUAACCCUAGUAAAAAGUGAGUUGAUUUAUUUUAGUCUCUUAGGCUUCUAGGCUAAGCAUUUAUAUGAAACUAACUCGUUGGAUAGGAGAUUUGCACAUGAUCUCAGUGUACUUUAAAGUCUUAAAUAUUCAACUUGUAAUGUCAUUUGUGUAUUCAACAAUAUCAUUCAGGACCUGGACCUUGGAAAGUGAAGAUUAUCAUUACCUAUUAUUGGUAAGUGUUGCUUCUCAAUGCAGUACCUCUUAUACAAACUUGCUCCAUAGCCUGGUCCAACGUUGUACCUGUUAACAAAAUAAUUUUUAGUGAACACUAGUCCAAGUAAAAAAAAAUCAUUGCUUCAUUGAAGAAAAACACUAUAUUUUUUAUUAGUGCUCUUAGAUAUACAACUAUUUUUUUUAAUUUAUGUAUACAACUAUUUCUGGAAUAAUGGAGCACUACCACUUUCCAAAAUUAUAUUUUGUAACUUGAACAUCUGAGUUCUGAAAAUUAAUGAAUAAGAUUUUCUGAAUAUUGUGCUCUCUACGAUUUGACAACAGCAGCUAGGUAACAUGAUCUCUCAUUCUUAGAUGAUUUUUUUUUCUAGAACACGCCUUCACGUGUAUUUCAUUAAGAAGGAAUAAACCAUACAUACAAAGAAACCAAGAGUCCGAGGCCCUAGGCGAGCUGCCCAGGCUGCCAAGGUUCUUAGAUGAAAAUGUAUCACGUUUCUGCAUCAACACGGCAUCCAUCAGGUCAAUAUUUUUCAGACAGCAUGAAAAAGUUGGGCCGAGCAAGCAGCAUAUGAAUACUGGAAAGAGUUUCGGCAAUGUUGUUUAUGUUGGGCCUACCACAAAAUACUGAAACUGGUAACACACUGUUUCUCUCAUGUGGUGGUUAGAAGUUAGAACUCUAAAACAGCACCUAUAACACUAGGAUGGAACAAGUCAGGACUGGUUAAUGUGAGUAAAGCAACAAAGAUGAAUCAAGUCUAGCAAACAGCAUUAAGAUGUCCACCUCAAGAAUGUGCCUGAAAAGCCUACUCAUUUCAGGACCCAUACAUUGUUCAAAGGAGGACCCACAUACAUGGAAACAACAAGAUAGGAUCAGCAGCUAGACAGUGAGAUUUCGCCUGUUUUGCCACUGCACUGUGGGAAUGAUUGACUUGUUUCUCGAGAUUUGUGGCUCGGCGGCUUUCGCUCGAGCUCAUGGACCGCGAAAUGAUAGAUGCCUCUUUGAGAUGUCCCUUUCUAUUUGUACACAAGGCCAAGCAUUAGUGAGAAGCCGGAAAAAGAACCCCUUUUUGUUUUCUGAAGAAGGUUCAGUAAUCAUGAGAGCUUGUGCCACCUUACUUUCGUGGUUGUUGGGUUUUUGAUGCUAUCAUGCUCCCAGCUAACCAUUGUCACCUACUAAGGCUGAUUAGAAAGGGUUCAUUCAGUGCUCAGAAGUGGACAAUAUGUUUUAAUUGAUCAUGUAAGCAAAAUGCCUACAAAAACUGUAUUUGCAGUUGAAAUUUCAAAUUUAAUUGAUAAACAUGUCCAUGUGUUGCAGCGUACAACUUAUUACACGGUCACCUUAUGGCCCGAAGAUUUAUAUAAUGGUCGCAUCAUAUGUUCUAAUAUAUAUUGGAAUCCAAGGACGCAUAAACCCACGCGUUGCUAACUUAUAUGAGCAUAUGUUAUGAGUCUAAGUCAAAUACUGACGAAGAGAGAUAAGGUGACAGUUUAGGAAGUAAACUUUUCCUCAAAAAAGAAUCCCUUCAUCACUCUUUAAACAUUCUUCAAAUUUUACUGGUACCCUCCAUUACUCAAAACAAAUAUAAUGAUAGAAAUCUCUCCCCGUAACCUAUUACUGUUCCAAGCUGUACAAUGACCCUGUUGACAAGAUCUGAUUAAAGAGCAAGUAGGCUUUUAGAGUAGCCUGGUCCCGGGGAAAUCACUGGACGUUUAAUGUUUAAUACAAAGCUUGUACCGUCGGUGUCUAUUUAAACUUGCAUACUUGUCUGAUAUGCUACUUUGAAACCCUGCUCUCUGACACUGUACAUAUAUAAAAAGAGUAGAUUGAGCUAAAUGAGGAGCAGUCCAAAGUAGAUCUAUUUUGACUCAGGUGUGUUUCUUUGCCUCAUCCACUGAUCUGGUAUUAAUGGCUCAUGAAACUCAAGGAGGGGCAGGGUUUUUUCUUAUCUCCAUAGGAUUCUAUGUUUACAAUUCAUAGGCUGUCCUAUACACCACAUGUGGCUGCAAAAAGGGGAGAAAUUUCAUUACAGCUUCACCUUUCAUGAACAAAGUAAAUUCCUGCUUUUGAUAAGGGUGAAAGGCUAACAGCAGCAGUGAGUGAAAGAUAUGAGUGUCUGUGAGGCCCAUACGGUGAACUUUUAGUUUACUCCUCGCUGCACAUGGCACCCCUCUUACUCCUCCUCCUAAGCUCGUCAGGAGCCCAAAACCCCUCCAAUACAUGUCGUCAUCCCAUAGGCAAACCGCAAUGGACCACAGCUUAAAUAUUGCUGUCAUGCUCAUGCAGGACUUAACAAACUCUGACCAUGAUGCAAAGACAGCAGUUACCUUCAUAACCUAGUGCUGCGAAAGGACAUGGCUGGUGGACUCACACUGGUAACAGUUCACCAAAAAGUUUCAGUUUUCCUAUGCGAUUCACUCACUGCUAGGUGCUGCAGUUCUAUAUCUUUAAUCUUUGCACUCAUCCAUCCAUCCUUGUCAGAUAAAAUAGUGCUGCAGAUGCAUGCUCCAUGGUGAGCCCUACUCUCCUACUCUCCUCUUUAUGUGGCAAUUCAAAAAAUCCGUUUGAUAGCAGGGAAACAGAAACACACACAGCCCUUUGCUUGCUUUCGCUUUCAUUCAUGCCUGCCUCAUCAUCAUGGCUUCCUUCCCCUUUAGCGUUUGCAUCAUUUGUGCCACUAAAGCUCCUGCCGCCGUGAGGCAUUUCUUGAUGCCUCCCAGCUCCCAAAUGGCCAUACAACUCACACUACUCAUACUCAUUUCAUGUAGCCUUUACAGUAUGUAUCCUUCUUCCUCUUCUUCCUUCUCGGAAUCGUCUUCGCUCGCAUUGCUGGUGCUUGUCAUCUCCACCUGCCUCUCCUUGCUCUUCACUAACCUCAGAAAGCUACUCAGAGACAACAACACCCACAAGGCUAAUAAGGCAGCUCCGGCUUCCAUGGAGGAGGCUGUGACUGUGUUUCAGGAGAAGAGCAUUGUGCCACAAGAUGAGGCACUAGAGGAUUUGAUGGGCGGAAGCCUGUCAGAUUCUUCAGAGUGCACGACGAACGACGACGAGGAGGGCACCGAGGAAGGCUCGGUGUCAGAUGAAGCUGACGACGACGACGACGACGACGACGAGAGCCUCAUUGAGAUCUCCCUUGUCGAUGGCCACUAUGUGGGCGGCGCAGAGCAAGCUGAACAGCGACGCGCAUACAACUACAAGAAGGACCUGCUCGCGGAGUUCUUGCCGGAUUUGCUGCUGGACAGGAGAGAUUUCUUCGACAUCUUGUCAGAGAUCAGCGAGGAGGACAGCCUGAUCGAGAUUGACAUCGCAAGAGGCUCCAUCAAGUGCUCUGCCAACUUGGAUAUCAAGGCAUGAGGUUACACAAGGUAAAGGUUUGGAGAAACUGAAAGAAACCUGACGAUGCAUUUGAUCAGGGAAAUUAAGGCAGCAGCAGCAGCAGCUUGUACCUGUCAUCAUCCAUGAUCCAUGUAAUGGUGUAAGGUGUUCUCUUUUUACAAGAGCUCAUGUUUUUUUUUCUUUGUGGUGGAUGAAGGAAGCCUUGUUUCUUCGUACUCUGUUUCGUAAAAUAUUAUAUUACAGCAGAAAUAACGUGAUUGCACAUAUUUUGGUUAAAACGGAAUGUAUUUGUGCAUGCCCUUUUGAUUUAUUCUUUCAUUCACAUAUUCAAUAGUAGAUGGUAAUUUUGUCAGCACUGUUCAUUUGUGUGAUCUGAGUGUAGUUAGUGGGAUAUUCUAGUUAAUUAUGCCGUGUGAAAAGAUUAAAAAUACUUUUGACGACUGCUGAUUGACAUGAAACAUUCAGUUCAGCAAAAAAAAAAGAAAAAAAGAGAAAAUGUUGCUCUUAAUUAAACUGCUUGGUUUUCUGUAGAGAUAGGGUCAACUUUUGUCCUUCCGAAUCAAAAGUUCAUUUUUAUUCCGUAUGUAGGGUACUGGCAUAUAUGGCUCAAAAUCAGUUGUUUAUUAGCUUGUGCGGCAGAGUCCCUUUUAGAAGUUUGGUUCUUUGAAUCCGAAAGAGGUUGAGAUCUUUAUGAUAGAGGCCUCUAUUAUUAGCUUCAGCACUCAAGUACCAGUGUCCUAAACUAGCUAGUACUACUACUGCUAAAUCAAUGUUUGGUGGUUAACAGGUACUGUGUGCUUAAAUGAACAAAUUAUUAUUGAGAGAUGAUGGCUAGUUAGCUGGAGAAGACCAUUGGAGUUUGAAUCAUUCUUGUUGAAUCGAUAGUUGGAAGGAAUCAUGGAACGUACUGUAUGAUUUAACUUCCCUUUGCCAUUGGAAUUUCAGAGGGACAGAGAAGGGGAUUUCAGAACUCAACUCCGACCAUUCUAAAAUCUCUAAGCCGGAAUGCUGGGCCUGCCUUUAGACAGCCCGCAGGCCACAGCAUCAAUCUAGCCGGGCCUUGCAUACUUUCUGUUUUCCCCUGCUGGGCCUUGGAUGCAUGUGUCGGUCACAUCUUGACCUCAACUAUUGAUGUGUUAAUAAACUAUAUAAAAAACUAAAUGUUUUGACUUUUGAAACUAUUUAAAAUGAUUGUUUUUCUUCUUAGAUGGUUUUUAAGGUUGUUUCGUGUGAUAUAGACCAUGUCAUUCACAAGAAACACUACUACAACAAGUUCAUCACCGUCAUUCCAAAACCCCCUUCAAUGUCGGUCUUGGCCGUCGUUGGUGAUAGCCUCGGUGCUCAUCCCCGGUUGCAAAGCCGGCGGUGGUAUUGUUUAUCACCAUCGGAUCAGCACACAAUAGGACGGUGUUGUCAUUUACCAUCACUGCCUCAUUAGAGUUUGAUCCGUGGAAAUCGGUCACAUAUCACUGUCAGUUUGGUGAACGAUCCAACGCUGAUGAUGGAGAUAACAAUGUCGGUUGGGUGUACCAUCUGGCGGCGAUGAAUGCGAUAUAAAUGUCGGUCUAGGUUAUGAUCCGACGUAGAUGUAAAUUCUAGCACAAUUGGUCACCUUUUGAUUCAACGGUGUUGGUGGUGUCAACGUCGGUCUAGCGUUGAUGAAGUUGUCCAUCACCCCCAUGCUUGUCUUUGAUCCGGCGGUAUUGUAUUGUACAUCACUGUUGUUAUGACAUUUUUCGGUUGUGUUGAUGUCACAACAGAUUGUUUCCAUAUCACCAAUGAUUUUGAUAGGUUGGCAUCAAUAUUGUAUUGUUCAUAAUACAAUACAAUAAUAAUACAAAUAGUAUUUGGAUUACCCUAGACCCGGGUUGUAUAUACAUAAUGUAUCAAAAUAUACAUCGCUGCCAAGACACAGUUCCAUAAAACAAAAAAUGUAACCACAAUGACAUGUCGUUUGAGAACACAAACAAAGAAACCAGCAUUACAAGGUGAAGAACAUUAGCACCUUCAUUAGAUAAAGUAAUGGUCUCCAUCAAGAUUCACGACUUGGUCCAUAAUGAAAUUGCCAAGGUGUUAUUGCAACCCAGAUAUAUAUAUGUCCAAAUAAUCAAUCAACACCGUUGUACUUGCCCAUAUUUUCUAUAACACAAGAAAAAGGUUAAACACAAUUAAGACAUACAUAUAUUGCUAUACACUCAAGAUUAGGUCAUCGACAUUCUGACAGCAAUGACUAGUUUUUGAUCCUUUCAAAACUAGCCAUUGGGGUCUCUCUGAUGAGAGCUCUAGUGCACUCACCAAAGGAAUCCAACGCCAUGAAAUUUCCACAUAAAGUUGUAACAACUAGUUGAGUGUGUGGGCUUAUAAAUAGGGCUUGUGGCCGGCCAUGGUCACAGUCUUGGACCUCCUUAGUUGUUGAUGCCCUGCAUCCAUUAGAGGUUGAGAUACACAAUCCACUCAUCUUGCUUGAUUGAAAUCACAUUUGAGUGAGUUGGAGAUAGAUCUAGUAUAUUUGCACUAAGUGUUUACAUCUUAUGGCACUAGUUCAUCAUGGUGGUUGUAAAGAUCUUAUUACUUUUGGUGGUUGCCACCACUUAGACGUCUUAGAGCUGGUUGGAUUGUUGAGCACCUUAGUGGUGAUUGUUUGGUGGCUCCAAUCAAGUUAUUCUAAGGGGUUUUGUGCUCACCUCAUGGGAGAUCACGAAGGCCAACUCUAGUGGAAUCGUGAGGCUAGUUGGAGUGCCUUGAUUAGUUGGCUUCUUGCAAGCACCCACGUUGAGGGCUUUUGCUUAGCUUGCAAAGCAACAAUCAAAGGACUCGCCUCAAUGGGGACAUAGGUUGCUGGAAAGCAAGAAAACAUUGGGUGGAAAAUUCAUUAGAGCAUCUCCAAGAUCCUCAUUAUCCAUCUGACUUUGGUAAAUCAUGUGAAAACCUGCUCCGAUAGCCUUGUCAAAUUGAUUUCCAAAUUCCCAAGCACACUAUCUCAUAUAAGUCGCUCGGUAGAAGAAGCGAGUGGGAUUCGCUCACCUUCCUGGGCAUCUAGUCCUUCCUGCGCUGUCUGGCUUCCCGUGUGAAAUCAUGGUUGGGGCGUCGUAGCUCGAUGUGCUCGUAGGAACAACAAUAGAGGAGGCUCCAUCUUUAGUGGUUGGAUGCAUGGUGGCAUGGUGGUGAUGAUGGGCAUGACGUAGUGGCCUAGAAAUUGCUAGUCAAAUCAGGGGGAGGGAGAUUGGGGGAGCCUGAAUUGGAAGAGGCGUCAUCGUGUCGAGUACAUACUCAAGCACAGAGGCGGCUUCGAUCCCUGCGAGCUAGUCCUAGGAGAUUGGGCUAUUAUACCUUGUAACUUGGUGAGCUAGAACACUGAGGUCUUCAUGACCUUCUGAUGAAGGCACGAUGACCUUUUCUAGGUGAUAAUUUUCCAUUCUUUGUGUGAAGCAACGUCAUACCAUAUGUAUGCGAUGAGGAGACCCCUCCCUCAUGUGGAGAAGCUUUAUAGUAUACAUGACAUAAAGGUGAGUGGAGGUGGGAAUCACCUUGGUAGAGCUCCAAGGUGGACUAGGGGUUAUGAUUUUGCAACUGUUAACACGGAAUAUAUUCUCAUGUUUUGGGGAGUUUGCCUCUCUAUCUUUAGCUCUUCACUCAAUUGCCACUUUUGUUGCUUUUGUUUAUGCAUUGCUUGUCUGACCUUUACCUUCCAAGAUUAAUUAGCUCCAUGCUAGUUGAGAUGAUUGACUCUAAAUUUCUAAACUCUAUAGGAUUGAAGGUAAGCUAGAGCACACUAGCUAGAAAAAAACUUAAGUGCACACCGUUAUAGAUAGCACUUGUCUUGCUAGUCAAUCAACUAUCCACCAUCUAUCUCAAGUGACUAACUGCAUGAAGAAACGACACUUCCUUGGUGCUCACGUUUUUAUACCCCCUCUCAUUAUCCAAAACUAAUAAUACCCUAGGGGAAAUAACAUAUGAAAGCCACCAAAUAGGGAGUCUGACACUUCCAAUUUCAAGACACCUUUGAAAUAAUGUCUCAAGGAGCAAGGUAGCAAGGUACUCGGUGACAACACAAGAUGGACUCUGAAAUAAUGUCUUAAAGAGCAAAGUAUUCAGUGAUAUAUAACGCCAAUAGCUGCAGUCAAAGCACCUUGGGUGUCAAAGACCCAGGCAUGAUGAGUGAGGGUGUAAAAAGUCAAUGCUUUUGUUUGUUCUUCUCUUGGCCACUAAAACAAAGCUUGUGUGUGCAAGAUCAGCUAUCCAUUAAUUGGCCAUGAAUCCCACCUGUUCAAGCACCAUUAUCCCCCACAAGUACUACAACCACGGAGAAGAAAGCAUGGACAUGUUGUGAACUUGAAUAGGGAACAUAGAAAAAGGUUGGGUUGUAUCAACCUUUUUUAGACACAACCAUCCCAUCUUAAGCCCUUUGUUUGUUUGGGCCCUAGGAGCUGUUGACCCUUCAAAAGCCAAAAAAAGUUCUCGAAAGCCAAAAGGCACACGCUCAUUAUAAGCUUUUGGCUUAGGAGAAUUGUUUGGCUUUUAAAAAUCCAAAAGGUAGUAGUCUAAAGGGGUGUGAAAGGUCCAAAUGGCUAGAGGGGGGUGAAUAGCCUAUUUAAAAAAUCUACAAACUUUACUAAACAAGUGAGUUAGUAAAAUAAGUGGCGAAACUAUUCUAGCACUAGAACAACUAAGCUAUGCAAGCCACCUAUACAAGUCUAGCAAAAGGGCUAAACACUAAACCACAACAACUAGAGAAGGCUACACAACAACUCUAUACUAACAAGAACUAAGCUACACAAGCUAAACUAACAAGGUAGGCAAGUAAGUAAAGAGAGGAGAGUGAUUGUUAUACCGACGUUGUAGAGAUGAGGUAUAUCCAAUCAAUCACGUACACAAUCAAAGAGAGACCUCGGCAAGAGAUGACACAAGAUUUUUUACCGAGGUUCAUUUGCUUCCCGGCAAGCUACUCCUCGUUGUGGCGAUACACCCACUUGAUGGAUCACGAGCUAAUUGGCAAUCCAAAGCCAAACCCUCAGCGGAUGCCGCACAUCCACUCACAAGAUGGGGAUCCUCCAAGCCACGAGCAAUCCACUAGAGUAGCCAAUUGCGAUCUCCCGCGGGGAAGGCUCAAGAACCCCUCACAAAUCACUUGGUGAGGCUCGAAACAAUCUCCAAUCACGAGCUCAACACCACCGCUGCUCCAAGCCGUCUAGGGCGUCGGGAAACACCAAAGAGUAACAAGAAAUCUGCAGCAAACUCAAGAAUCAAGUGCCACUAAAUGCAACUCUCAAAGCAAUGCACUUGAAUCUUACUCAAUCUCACUAGAAUUAGCAAUCAAGCAAGGAGAUGAGUGGAGAGAGUGUUCUCUGGCUCAAAGUAUGCCUCAAGUAUUCAAAAUAUGCAAGAGUUAGCCUUCCAAAGCUGGCCACCUUCUAUUUAUAAGCCCCCUCAAAGAACUAGCCGUUGGCUACUUUCACUCGGCUAAAAACGGGGGCACCGGACGCUACCAAGUGAUCACCGGACGCUUGACUCCCAGCGUCUGGUGCUCAGGGGUUGGCCACGUGUCCUUUUGAAUCUCGCGUGUGAGUCUCUAACGGCUACCUGCAAAGCACCGGACGCUCUGCAGGUCCACACCGGACUCAUGCGUAGAGAGUUCCGCAAACCUGCAGGGUCACCAGACAUGAGUCACCGGACACACCCUGAGCGUCCGGUGCUCACUGGACUUAAACACAGAGAGGGUUGCAAAACGCCCUCACACCGGACGCUAACCACCGGACGCUCUCAAAGUGCAUCCGGUGCUCAAUCCUAGCGGGGUUAAGCACACCAGACUCUGAGGCCAGCGUCCGGUGCCUCUGCACUCAGCGUCUGGUGAGUGUUUCUCAGUGAGAAAACACUCCCGCGACUUCUCCAAAUUUCCCAUCGGCGCAAUAGAAAAUAUACACUUAUUUUUCUCAAAAGAGAGGAACACAAACCCCUCUCAACCCUAGGAACUCCACCUCCUUUGCAAAUGCUUGUUGACACUUGCUAACACCACGUGAAUACUAGGUUGUCAUCCCCAGCAUGGCACUAGAGUGUACUAUGGUAUUUAUACGCACACAGAUAAUCCGCAAGCGCACGGAUACCGUUGACGCUUUUACCCAGUUAAAGGUUUUAUCGUAUCCACAGGGAAACGGGAGAACUGAUCUACGCUCUAACUCAACCAGGAUAAGUAAAUAAGUGUAAAUAGGAAAGAUGGUAGAAUUGAAUAAGAACAAUAUUAAAGGUAAGGUAACAAUGGGUGAUAAUAUGGGAAUAAAGAGUAGAGCAAUUCUAGUAUAUGGGCGAUGGUAGUAGAAUAGAGAGGAUAACUAUGGUUUCUCUACUUCAAAGGGGUAUGUCUAUGUCUGGGACGAACCACGUGAUAAGAGUACACCACAAAGGAUGCUUAUCCUUAGGCCGAUAAACCCUACCCGUCCUGCUAACGAGAGGUGGACUACAGAGGACCAACGUAACUGUCACCUACACGGCCUACCAUACGCUCCAGCUAGACAGGGGAUAUCCACAAGUAAUCUAGGUCUAAGCACCACGCUUACACCUAUACUACAACUCUAACCUAUAGCGUCCUAUAGAUUAGAAGUACUCAAAAGAGUUGUGAACCAGAACAUACAUGAUUAGUAAUUGCAUAAUGAAUUAGAAGUAGAUUACCAGAGUCAUCCCAUGAGCAAGCUUGAUUAGAGCUUGAUCAUGACGAAGUACAACCGGAGGAAGAACCGACAGGCCGGCCUCUCCUCUAAUCAUCCUUCGCUCUCCAUCUUGCUACUAUCUAGAUCUACUCUAGUUUAGAGAAGAGAGGAGUGCUCUCAUCUCUAAACCCUAGCUUUUGCUCUGUCUAUGAAUAAUGAAUAAUGAUCAAGGGGUGCCUCCUCCAGGGGCCAGGGGGUCUGGUUAUAUAGUCCCCUCAAGUGAACCUGGGCCGUCAGAUCAAACCGACAUUGAUUGAACGGUUAUUCUUGAUCCUUUAGGUCGGUGGAAAUCUCCCGAGAAACAGAGUCUUGAUUGGACUCCAGAGGUGGGCGGGCGCCCUGCCUCUGGCCCCGUUCGGCCUCCGCUUCCUUCCCGUGGCUUCUGGAGUCUUCUAGAUGUAAGAUAAUUGCGCGGCACGUUAAUAUCUCUAUGUAAUCCCGACGUGUGGGUCUUUCUUCUGUAUUUCCUGAUACCCCCCUGCAGAAAUAGACAAACACCAAAACUCGUGGAAUUCUGUUAGAUAAAACCCUAAGUCUAGAUGUUGAUUUCAUUUGGAUCCUUUUCUUUGUUUUUUUGAUAAUUAAAUUUGAUACUUAAGGACCAUCAACAAACUCCCCCAAGCUUACCUCUUGCUCGUCCCUGAGCAAGGAUAGACUCAGCAAUGGAUCAGAAGUUGUUGCAAUAUCUUAAAAAUUUGACGGUACACAUGCUUUUAAAUAAGAUCUCAUCUCUGAGUUAGGGUAAACUGUCAAGAACUAAAACUUACUUACUUUAUCUUUCACCAUGGGACUUGUAACCGUUACUUCUGUCUUGAGUAGUUAAAAGAUAGAACAGUCUAGCCAAGUGCCAUGUCUCUUAUUCUUGAUCAGCUAUAGCUCUGGAGUUUUUGCAGAUUUUUAAAUAAAACUCAGAUAUUCCUUGUAUGACUCUCUAAAUCUCUCUUUUGUGGUAUUUCUGGAUCCUUAGCAAGGCAGUGAUGGUAUAUGCCUUCUCUCAAGAUAUGUGGUAUUUGUGGUAUAAGGCAUAGUGACAUUGCCUUCUCUCUCACCCUACUCUAAUAAGACUUUAAUAUCUGGAGCUCAUAGGUGGGAGAUAAAGUAUACAUACUUACAAGACAUUUAUUGUAUAGUCAAACCAUGGAUCCAAAGAAACAAAUCAAUAAGCCAAAUCAAGAUGUGCAUGUGUGGCGAAUGAAUGGUGUAUGGUGAUGAUGGUGAUAACAAUGGUGAAAGUCUAAUUCUACUUUUGCUCUUUUGAGGGGAUACAUACCUUCCUUGCUUUUUGAAACUUUAUGAGGAGAAUGAGAUGCUCUUCUUUUUCUUUCCUCUCAGGUGGGUAUCUUGCACCCCUAAUUCUACUAUCGGACACUUGUCCAUUUUUACCUCUCGUCUCACUUUUUCUUUCUUUCGAGGUUCCGGGCACUUGCCCCUUUUUAUUUCCUCGUUUAUUUUUUUCUCUUUUUUUUUCAGAGCACUCAUCUCUUGAGAUAAUAUAGCAAGUGGUAGUAGCAAGAUAACUUGAGCAUUUAUUUCGCAAGGGAAAACAGAAAUAUUUUUGGCUAUUCUCUCCCGGAUUAGGAGUAGAAUAUUUUUUGGGUGGUUCUGAAGAUGGACAUGGAUGGAUAUAUGUGGAUGGUACUUCCGGAGUAGAAGUAGCAUAUAUGAGUGAACGUGCAAGUGAAUCUUGAUUUAACCACAUGACAAGCUCCUAAGGGUCUACACAGCUUGACCACACUCAAUGCUCAUAAGCAGUAAAUAAUAAAUGUGUGGCUCAAAGUCUAGCAAGCAUGUAUAUAUGGCUGUGGUAGAAAUUUAAACUCUCAUCAUACAGGAACUCAUCAUGCAAUAUUUUAAAGAUUUUUCAAAGAUAAAAUUCUCCAGAAUUCUAGCAUCUCUAGGAACAGAUAAACAGCAGCUCAACCUUCCCAUAUCAUAUCCGUUAACAACUUAGAUUUCAGAUCAAGUUUUCAUCCCACAAGUUUAGAUCUAGAGCAAGCUUUAAAUUAUAACAGUUAUGUCUAAACUUGAGAGAGAACUUUAAAUUUGCAAAUUAGGCAGAGCAACUAUUCAUCAUAUCCAUGCUAGAGUUUUAUUAUUAAGAUUCAGAUUAGCAUAGCCACUUUAUUUAUUUAUUAAACACACUAAGCAAAAGAUAUAUAUAUAAGCACAAAAUCUUUAUUUGGUUUUUCAUAGUUUAUGUAUUUUAAUAUUCUAAUAUAAUAUAAGUAUAAAGAUAGGUAGAAAUACUUAGCGAGAUAAAUAGGGGUGCUCUCCCCCAAGCUGAAUUUUGACGUAAUUUGUCUUGAUGUAGCUAGCAGGUGGCAGAGCAGCAUUCUGACAACGAUUAGAAUGUCCUCCGUCUGCUAGUCUUCUUGAUUCUUAAAUUCUGUGGAGCUCAAAUAGACAACAAAGCUUGUGGAACUAAUUAAGUGUUAGCAUAAAUAUCUAGCCUUCAUCAUGUUGAGCUUCCUCAAUAAAUAUUACUCCCUGUUUUUAUAUUUUUAUUUUAUAAAGCAGAAAAGAAAUAUUUAUUUUAUCUUUAUGCCACCACAGUGAAAUUACUUAUGGGUUUUAUGCCACUCGUAUACUCACAUGGGGCUUAGUAUUUUUUAACAUUUUUAUUUUCUUUUCAAGAUAGCAUGAUUAACUAAUAAUCUAUUUAAGGAAAGUAAAUAAUUAAAGGGAAAAGGGAAUGCAGAAAUGAUAAAUAUGGAUAACUACCGAUCUUACCUUUCGGCGAGGGUUCAAUGUUAAGUCUUCUUAACAAGACUUCUCACCGUGUUCAUUCUUUAGGUGCGUCAUUUGAUUCAGGUGCGGACCUUGACGUCUGCACCUCUUCGUUUGCCCAGCAGUUCGAAGUGCGGCGUUGGCAGUUGUUGACGGUCCUUAAUGCUCACAUUUAACCAUCAACUAAUCAUGGAAAAGGAUCCAAAUGCAACUAACACCUAGACUUAGGGUUUUAUCUGACAGAAUUCCACGAGUUUUGGUGUUUGUCUAUUUCUGCAGGUAGUUAUCAGGAAAUAUGGAAGAAAGGCCCACACGUCGGGUUUACAUAGAGAUAUUAACGUGCCGCGCAAUUUUCUAUCAUCUAGAAGACUCCAGAAGCCACGGGAACGAACGGGAAGGCAAUCGGGCUCGGAGGCAGGGCGCCCGCCCUACUCUCCUAGGCGCCCGCCCACCUACAGUGCCCAAUCAGGACACGUUUCGCGGAUUAUGCUCCACCGACCUAAAGGAUCAAGGAAAACCGUGCGAUUAAUGUCGGUUUGAUCUGAUGGCCCAAAUUCAUUUGAAGGGACUAUAAAACCAGACCCCCUGGCCCCUGGAGAUCAUACCUCUUCUACGGAAUCAAAGCUAGGGUUUCAAUUCUUCAUCCAAGUAGAGAGGAUCCCUCUAGUUCUUCUAGUUCUACCUCUAGUUCAUCUAGAUCUAGUUCUAGUUCAUCUAGUUCUAGUUCUAUUUCCUCUAGUUCUAGUUCUAGUUAGUUCUAGUUGUAAUCUAGAAAAUAGGGAGAGAGAAGAGGAGAGCGGAGGAGGAGCCGGAUCUGUCGGAUCUUCCUCAACAUUGUACUUUUGCAGCAACUGGUUCGUUCUUCAUCGUUCUCCAGGUUCUUCAAUUCAUAAUUCCUGAGUUCUCUAAUUACUUUUAUUUACAUUCAAGUUAUUUAUUGGAUUCCCGCUUGCAUCAAGUGCUCUAAUCUUUGAAACAUUAGAGUAGUAAUUAAUAGAUUAGACGUGGUGUUUAGUCUUGCAAUUACCUGGAAUUGCACCCAAUCCUGCGGAUUGUUGUGGUAGCCCUAGGGUCGUGACAGCCCUAACGGUCGACGUAUUCCACCACGUUUGGAUCGGUGUUUGUAGGACCGUAGUCAGACCUUCCUAGCCCCCUUCUCAUCUCUUUCUGUGGUUAGUGCUCUGAUGUCCCGAUAUAGAUAAUCUUGAAAUAAUUCUUGAUUCUUAGAUCAACUAGAUAACUCUAAGGAAACUUCCUCUCUUCCCACCAAAAAUAAUUAUAUAGUUAUCCUUGGGUGAUCUUGACUCUUAAUUAGUACACUCACGUUCCCUGUGGAAAAUCGAUACUCUGGAAUACUCCCGGGUGAAAGCUACAUCGGUAUCCGUGCGCUUGCGGAUUUUUUCUGUUUGCGUUUAAAAUACCCAACAAGCUUUCUGGCGCCGUUGCCGGGGAACGAUAGCUGUGCUAGUUUCGAACCAAGUCGUCCGUGUAUCCUUUUUCUUUUCCUUUUUUACCACACUCUCCUUAUCAUUUUCACCAUACCACAUGGAUUUCACUCUAAGCAUUAAUGAGCAUGGAAUUUAUUUCAUAGCCACUUCAUUUACUCCAUGCUCAUAUGCAACAUCUUCCCAAUCCAUUGGUUUUUCCAACAUCACCACAUUCGAGAUCUCCAACCCCCUCAUUCUUUCUAUUUAUAAAAACUUUAAAAGGGUGGUUGUCGAUGCAUAUGUCUAUAUUAAAUAUUGCAGAUCUCGUUGAGUUGAUUUUGAUAUAGGUCAGCGUUGGUGGGGAAACCACUUCGCCGAUAUAAAUUGAUGGUUUCCCAAGGACAAGCUUAGUGUCCUAAAAUAAGCACUAAUCAGAUUGUAACAUGAGCUUUUAAUUAUUUGCAACAUUACCUUGUGUGUCGAAAUUCCUUCGGGUAUUCUUGUCACUAACCUCUCCAGGAUUGGAGCAAGAAGAUCGGAUGAAUGAGAAGCACAAGGUAUGUCCAACCAAUCAUCAUACAACAUUGAAUUAAAUUCAUCCAAACUUAAAUUUUGCAAAAUUCAAGCUUGGGGGGGUACUUUACAUAAAAAUAUCCUUUGCCAUGUUGCUAUGUUAGUUGUCCCUACCUUUGAGACAUGCUCAAUUUGUUAAAUACUAAUCACACUACUUCAUCUCCACUUGAGUAGAUUUCUAUAAAUGCUCACAUGCUACCUUUAUUUGCUUUAGUAUAUGUCUAGGUUUGGAGUAGUUUCAUUUAUCUCUUAAUUAAGCAUGGUGCUUAGUUUAGGAAUGAUGAUCUUACUCCCAAAGGAUUUUAAAUUAAGUAGGAUGCUUAGGUUAAAAUUCCCUCCUAAAUCAAAUUAGACAUGGUGUCUAGGUUGAUCUUUGAGCCGAUAGUAUGCUAUAGUAGAUAUUGGAUAUUUUGUUGGACUAACCCCUGCAGGAAAACUUUCAAUAUCGACCUGGGAAGUCCUGAGACAAACUCACAUUGGAGACAAAGAGAGAGACACAUGAAGUUUAACAAUUUACACAAGGAAGGCAUAGCUCACAAGAGAUGAUCCAGGGAGGGUGCCACAAACACGAUGCACAACCGCUAAGAAAGGAAAGCUUCCAUAAGGUGAUACUGUACCAUCACUCUUCAAGUAAGGUAACAUCUUAAGGUACUUAACUAUCACUUCUAUAAGCUUCUCCUUGGUUCUGACGUUCACAUGAAUAAAAGAGACAAACAUGUAUGAUUUAUAACUCUAGAUUAACCAACCCAAUCGAUUCAAUAUGUUUAGUCCUUCCACCUUUGUGAUCUCACACUCCUAAUCAUAUGAACUAAAAUGUUGCACACUCAAUCUUUGGAAAAUGAUAGUCAUGUAAAGAAAAAAACAUUUACUUAGAUAGAUUAUCUUUCCAUAAGGUUGAGUGAUCUGAUCUGACAAAUGUUUUAAAUGCUACACUCAUGAUCUUAUUAUCCAUCAACUUUGUUUUGCUCACUAUGCUUAAGGUUAGAGAAGAACAAAUACACUUUUGAUUCUGUUGGUAUUUUCCACCAACAGGGCCCAUGCACUUGAUCUCUGCCUUGUCUCAAUGAGCAGGUACACUUUGAGCAAAAUAUGAAGGACUUUUAUAACUCCCAGACUCCACCAAGUGAAGAACCUAGAUCUACGAGCACAAACACACUGGAGAUACUGGACACUCAGGCAAUCACUGCCUUGAGAUGCUUGAGGACGUAACUACUAGAGUAACCCCGUUGUGGAAGUAAUUACUGACCUUCUGUCGGUCAAGAGAGACAAUCCAGGACGCCCCGUCAUCCCGAUCUCCAUCGGCAUGGUGGACUUCCCAGAAGCACUCUGCGACUUUGGCUCCAGCGUCAACAUUAUGCCCAGGGGAAUAUUGAAGAACCUCUACGUCCGAGUUGGUACCUUGUAUGCCCCAGCACACUUCGUGGUGAUAGAGACUGGUACUGAUGAGAGGGCACCCAUCAUUCUAGGGAGGCCAUUUCUGAACACCUCAGGAGCUGUCAUCUACGCUAGUGCUGCCAAGAUCAGUUUCUACAUCAAAAGGGAGAAAGGAGACGUUUUCCUUCAAGAACAAGACUACACAAAUUUCAGAGCAAUCCCGACAUGAACCGAGGAAGAGGGCCAACAGGAGGAACAGGAACAAGCAAAUGUAGACCGAGUCAGCUAAGAUGGUCACUGCAGUUCAAGGAGGUCAAGAUCGUCGACUUAAGUCACCAUUUCUGACCAAAAAGGACAACCCAGGCAUGCUAAACAUCCAGUGCUCCAUUGAUGGAUACAACUUCCAGAAGAUGCUUUGCGACACCGGGUCAGGCGUCAACAUAAUCGCCGCCAGUCACCUAUCACCUCCUAUUCGGAACCGUGCCCCUAAAACCGACAUACAUUCAGCUUCAGAUGGUAGAUCAGACAUUCCGAAAGGUUAUUGUCAUGGGAGAAGACGAAUUCGAUCCACUUGUCAUCAUUGGGAGACUGUUCCUUAGCACCGUUAAAGCAAUCAUCUACAUUGGAACCGAAGAAGUCCAUAUGCACUUCCCCUCUGAGAAGGUACGCCGCUAUUUUACUGACUCUAACUAUAUAGUUAAAGACUCUAAGCAGAUCAGGACAAGAAGAAGACGACGCAACCGCAACCAGAGAAGGCAAAUCAUCAAGGACAGAUGGGCAGACUAUGAAGGAGAAGUAGUGAGGUCUGAAGACAUACAGCUUGAACAGAACUGUCUUGAGGAGACCAUAGCACCGAGUCAGGUGUGUAGAGAGAAGAUAGUUAUACACGAAGAGCAGGCGCCGCUGGAACCACCGACUACGCCAUCCAGUGAAUCCCAGGACAACUGAGAAAACGGAGAGUCCCGUUCGGAGGACUUAAAAAACACAGAACGCCUUGUCAAGAGGUAAACUUGGUAGUUAUCUUUUUCCUUUUAAUUAUUUAAAAUAGUUUGCUUAGUUAAUCAGGUUCAUGCUAUCUUGAAAAGAAAAUAAAAAUGUUAAAAAUAGUAAGCCCCAUGUGAGUAUGCUCAUGGCAUAAAGCCCAUAAGUACAUUCACUGUGGUGGCGUAAAAAUAAAAUAAAUAUAUUCCUGUCCUAUAAAAAUGAAAAUUAUAAAAAUAAAUUUAUGAUCCUACUAAAGAGUGUAAUAUUUAUUGAGGAGGCUCAACAUGAUAAAGGCUAGAUAUUUAUGCUAACACUUAACUAGUUCCACAAAGCUUUGUUGUCUAUUUGAGCUUCACAGAAUUCAAGGAUCAAAGAAGACUAGCAGACGGAGGACAUCCUAAUCGCUGUCAGAGUGCUGCCGACAUUCAAAUACACCUCCACCACCUGCUAGCUAUAUCAGGAGAAAUUACGUCAAAAUCCAGCUUGGGGGAGAGCACCCCCAUUUAUCCAGCCAAGUAUUCUACUCACGUUUAUACUUUACUCAAAUAAUAAAAAGAUGCAUAAUCAUAAGAACCCAAAUAAAGAUUUUGUGCUUAUAUAUAUAUCUUUGCUUAGUUUGCUAACUAAAUAAAUAAAUAAAAUUUGCUAUGAACCCUCGUGAUAAACUCUCAUAUGGAAAUGAUGAAUAGUUGCUCUACCAUGACUAGUUCUCAAAAUUGAAAUCUCUCUCAAGUUUAGGCAUGACUGUUAUUAAUUAAGAUUUGCUCUAAACCUAAACUUGUGGGGAGAGUACUUGAUCUAAAGUCUAAGUAGUUAACGGAUACGAUAUGGGACCACAUAUCUUAAUUAAUACCACAGCCAUAUAUACAUGCUUAUUAGACUAUGGACCACAUAUCUACUUUUUACUGCUUAUGAGCACUGAGUGUGGUCAAGCUGUGUAGACCCUUGGGAGCUUGUCAUGUGGUUAAAUCAAGAUUCACUUACACGUUCACUCACACAUGCUACUUCUACUCCGGAAGUACCAUCCACAUAUAUCCAUUUCCAUCUCUAGAACCACCCAAAAAUAUUCUACUCCUAAUCCGGGAGAGAAUAGCCAAAAACAUUUCUGUUUUCCCUUGUAAAAUAAAUGCUCAAGUUAUCUUGUUACUACCACUUGCUAUAUUAUUUCAUGAGAUGAGUGCUCUCUAAAAAAAGAAGAAAAAAAGAGAAAAAAAGAGAUAUGAGGAAAUAAAAAGGGGCAAGUGCCCGGAACCUCAAAAGAAAAGAAAAAGUGAGACGAGAGGUAAAAAUGGACAAGUGUCCGACAGUAGAAUUAGGGGUACAAGAUACCCACCUGAGAGAAAAGAAAAAGAAAAUACAGAGCAUCUCACUCUCCUUAAAAAGUUUCAAAAGAGCAAGAAAGAUAUGUAUCCCCACAAAAGAGCAUAAGUAGAAUUAGACUUUCACCAUUACUUUCACCAUUAUCACCAUUCAUUUGCCACACAUGCACAUCUUGAUUUGACUUAUUGACUUGUUUCUCUAGAUCCAUGGUUUGACUAUGCAAUAAAUGUCUUGUAAGUAUGUAUUAGCUGUCUCCCACCUAUGAGCUCCAGAUAUCAAAACCUUAUUAGAGUAGGGUGAGAGAGAAGGCAAUGUCAAUAUGCCUUAUACCACAAAUACCACAUACUUUGAGAGAAGGCAUACACCAUUACUGCCUUGGUAAGGAUCCAGAAAUACCACAAAUGACAAAUGAGAGAGUAAAAAGAGUUAUACAAGGAAUCUCUGAGUUUUAUUUGAAAAUCUGCAAAAACUCCAGAGCUAUAGUUAAUCGAAGAACAAGAGACAUGGUGCUUGACUAGACCGUUCUAUCUUUUAACUGCUCAAGACACAAGUGACGGUUACAAGCCCCAUGAUGGAAGGUAAAAUGAGUAAGUUUUAAGUCUUAACAGUUUACCCUAACUCACAGAUGAGAUCUUGUUUGAACGCAUGUGUAUCUUUAAGGCAUGAAACCACUGCAGAAACUCUUGAGUCCAUCUUUGCUCAGGGACGAGCAAAGGUUAAGCUUGGGGGAGCUUGUUCACGGUCCUUAAUGCUCACAUUUAACCAUCAACUAAUCAUGGAAAAGGAUCCAAAUGCAACUAACACCUAGACUUAGGGUUUUAUCUGACAGAAUUCCACGAGUUUUGGUGUUUGUCUAUUUCUGCAGGUAGUUAUCAGGAAAUAUGGAAGAAAGGCCCACACGUCGGGUUUACAUAGAGAUAUUAACGUGCCGCGCAAUUUUCUAUCAUCUAGAAGACUCCAGAAGCCACGGGAACGAACGGGAAGGCAAUCGGGCUCGGAGGCAGGGCGCCCGCCCUACUCUCCUGGGCGCCCGCCCAGCUACAGUGCCCAGUCAGGACACGUUUCGCGGAUUAUGCUCCACCGACCUAAAGGAUCAAGGAAAACCGUGCGAUUAAUGUCGGUUUGAUCCGACGGCCCAGAUUCACUUGAAGGGACUAUAAAACCAGACCCCCUGGCCCCUGGAGAUCAUACCUCUUCUACAGAAUCAAAGCUAGGGUUUCAAUUCUUCAUCCAAGUAGAGAGGAUCCCUCUAGUUCUUCUAGUUCUACCUCUAGUUCAUCUAGAUCUAGUUCUAGUUCAUCUAGUUCUAGUUCUAGUUUCUCUAGUUCUAGUUCUAGUUCUAGUUAGUUCUAGUUGUAAUCUAGAAAAUAGGGAGAGAGAAGAGGAGAGCGGAGGAGGAGCCGGAUCUGUCGGAUCUUCCUCAACAUUGUACUUUUGCAGCAACUGGUUCGUUCUUCAUCGUUCUCCAGGUUCUUCAAUUCAUAAUUCCUGAGUUCUCUAAUUACUUUUAUUUACAUUCAAGUUAUUUAUUGGAUUCCCGCUUGCAUCAAGUGCUCUAAUCUUUGAAACAUUAGAGUAUUAAUUAAUAGAUUAGACGUGUUUAGUCUUGCAAUUACCUGGAAUUGCACCCAAUCCUGCGGAUUGUUGUGGUAGCCCUAGGGUAGUGACAGCCCUAACGGUCGACGUAUUCCACCACGUUCGGAUCGGUGUUUGUAGGACCGUAGUCAGACCUUCCUAGCCCCCUUCUCAUCUCUUUCUGUGGUUAGUGCUCUGAUGUCUCGAUAUAGAUAAUCUUGAAGUAAUUCUUGAUUCUUAGAUCAACUAGAUAACUCUCAGGAAACUUCCUCUCUUCCCACCAAAAAUAAUUAUAUAGUUAUCCUUGGGCGAUCUUGACUCUUAAUUAGUACACUCACAUUCCCUGUGGAAAAUCGAUACUCUGGAAUACUCCCGGGUGAAAGCUACAUCGGUAUCCGUGCGCUUGCGGAUUUUUUCUGUUUGCGUUUAAAAUACCCAACAACAGUAUCCUGCUCAGUGUGUUUGUGCUCGUAGAUCCAGGUCCUUCACUUGGUAGAGUCUGAGAGUUAUAAAACUCCUCCGUGUUUUGCUCGAAGUGUACCUACUCAUAGAGACAAGGCAGAGAUCAAGUGCGUGGGUCCUAUUGGUGGAAAACACCAACAAAACCAAAAGUGUAUUUGUUCUUCUCUAACCUUAAGCAUAGUGAGCAAGACAAAGUUGAUGGAUGAAAAGUUCAUGAGUGUAGCACUUAUAACAUUUGUCAGAUCAGAUCGCUCAACCUUAUGGAAAGAUAAUCUAUCUAUGUAUAUGUCUUUUUCUUUAUGUCUCUCAAAGAUUGAAUGUGUAACAUUUUAGCUCAUAUGAUUAGGAGUGUGGGAUCAUGGAGGUAGUACUAAGAACAAGGAUUAAAGGACUAAACAUGUUGAAUCAGUUGGGUUGGUUAAUCUAGAGUUGUAAAUCAUACAUGUUUGUCUCUUUUAUUUAUAUGAACGCCAGAACCAAGGAGAAGCUUAUAAAAUUGACAGUCAAGUACCUUAAGAUGUUACCUUGCUUGAAGAGUGAUGGUACAGUAUUACCUUGUGGAAGCUUUCCUUUCUUAGCUGUUGUGCAUCGUGUUUGU
rnacentral:lncRNA from 1 species